UUGCAGCCCCUCCGUGGGCGCCGUGUGUGGGAAUGGAGGCGGCGCAGCCUCCUGAGCUCGCCGACGCUCUCACCUGAGUAGGGGGUGGUCUGAGACGUGGCACUCGCGCGGCAACCUUCACUCCGCUGCUCUCCGUGCCGGCGAGAGGNNNNNNNNNNNNNNNNNNNNNNNNNNNNNNNNNNNNNNNNNNNNNNNNNNNNNNNNNNNNNNNNNNNNNNNNNNNNNNNNNNNNNNNNNNNNNNNNNNNNNNNNNNNNNNNNNNNNNNNNNNNNNNNNNNNNNNNNNNNNNNNNNNNNNNNNNNNNNNNNNNNNNNNNNNNNNNNNNNNNNNNNNNNNNNNNNNNNNNNNNNNNNNNNNNNNNNNNNNNNNNNNNNNNNNNNNNNNNNNNNNNNNNNNNNNNNNNNNNNNNNNNNNNNNNNNNNNNNNNNNNNNNNNNNNNNNNNNNNNNNNNNNNNNNNNNNNNNNNNNNNNNNNNNNNNNNNNNNNNNNNNNNNNNNNNNNNNNNNNNNNNNNNNNNUCCCUAUUUUUAGAACCCUGGUCAACAUUUUUGUGUGACUUAUUUCUGUUACAAUAAAUAAAUAGCUUCCUAUUGCUAUUUAUUCCACAUUGGAAAAUUCCUAGAAUAUUCAUUUCAACUCCAAAUCUAGUGAAACCACUUCCUAAAUAUUUCCAAAAUCAUUCUCUGUUAAAUGGGUGCCUCCACUCAUUUUUAACAGAAUGAAUUCUGUUGGCUUCUUCAAUGGUCACCUAUUCCUCCUUUCAUCCAUUCGAAAUUCCCUGAUGAUCCAAAUAUCCUAUAUCAAGCUUCAUGUAUUUUUCUUAUGACCAGAGAGGUCCAACAAAAUAAAACUUCUAUUUAUAGAACACUUUUAUUCUGCUUGAUGUAUGGCUUACCGUGGUUGUUUCCGACGAUAGUUGACGGGUAGACGGAGUAUUCGGAGUUGGAGCGGAAGACCUUGAAGACCCCGAGGACUUACAUGAGCAAGGCAAGCAACCCUUUGACCAUGACUAAGCAUAUGUUACUUUGCAUGAUAAAAUAGCAAGUAUUCUCGUUGCAUAUGAUCACAAGUGUUGGUAAUCAUUUGAUAUGAUUUUACCGAAGGCUCCUCUGGAGCAUUUGCAUUGAGCUUGACCAUACCCCUUGAGGGUCAUGCUAAUACCAUGUUGACAAGUAAAGAUAGCAAUAGUAUUAUCAUGACCAUGAUGUUGUCAUAAAGCAAGAGUUUAUGAAAACCCCGUUGGGUGCCACUAAUGCCCGAGGGUGAUGAUGAGUUAGGUGGUCACUUUUGGUGAAGUGAUGCAUCCGGUAUUUGUGUGAGUAAGGUUUCAGAAAUGGGAUUAGAUUUAUGAUGUGUCGACCGUCCCAACCUUACCAGUACGACCACGUUACCCCUUAUGGGACGGGGCUAUGUUAAUUACUCUGGUCGGUGCUAGCAAAGAGCCACAUUACUAGUGGCGGGAGUGAUAUGUGGUCACUCUUAUGAUGGGGUCGUACCGGGUAGGACGACUAUGCCAUUUUUAUGAGUUCCAGUCACACCGUUGGUCCCCGCAUGGUUGGUACUGUCCAGAGUUGGUGCUCGUAAGAUGUACAACAUGUGGGCUAGGUACCAAUCGAGUGGACCUCUUUGUCUAGUAUCGUUAGGGGAAAGGCAUUGAUCGGGUACUUACCUCGGGUAUGUGAUGUAGCGCGAGUCAUGGAUGACACGGAAGUUUCCCAGAUCUCGUGGGUCCAGCGUACUACCUCUCCAGAGUGUAAACUAUUCGAAUAGCCGUGUCCACGGUCAAGGACAGUUGGGUAAUCCUGCUUAAACUACGUCCUGAUAUUUCCGCAUAAACCAAGUGUGUGUGUAUGGUGAUGAGAAAGGUGUUGCUAUGAUAGCAAUGUUAUGACCAAGUUCGGUGACUUGGCAUAUAGGGUGAACCCGGAUAGUUCAGCCCUCGAUAGAUAUAUCGAUAUCUGUAACCUGUUCUUCAAGAGUAAUUCUGUAAGUUGAUGCAUAUUCAUGAUCAUUCCACCCAGAUGAGUUACACUAGAGAUGCAUGAUAUUGUUAUCCUUCACUUUCGUUGAUUAUAUCAUGGGCUGCUUGCGAGUACAUUCAAAGUACUCAUUGGCUUGCCACUGGUUAUUUCAUUGACCAGGUAUGAAAGAACGGGAUUUGGUGAAGGUUAAAUCGGUGACGUUCUCGCGAGCUAGGACGCUUCCCAGUUAGAAUGCCUGUAGGUUAAGGCUGAUGGCAUGGGUUCACGCUUUCAACCAAUAAUUUCGCUAUUGGUCCAGUUGGAGUGUAGGCCUUUAAGGCCCUAUAUAUGUAAAACUCGACCGAGGUGGUCAUUUACUGUAUCAAACGGUAUGUAUGGAUGUAAGACUCUUUUAUUCAGUAUCUGUGUUCGGUGAGCAUUGAUCUCUGGGAUCACUGAGCACGACAAUCUCGACUCAUAAGUAGGGGUCCCCACAGUUAACAUCUACGUAAUACACAGUUAUUUGGACUAGUUCGCAGUGCCGUUGUCGGACUAGUUCGCCGUGGCCAGUGUCAAACAUGCUCCGCCUCGACGCUUUCUACCAGGCUACGGAUAGCACGGCCACGGACGACUACGAUGGAUGGUGACGAUGACGCCAACAACUAGUUCAUCCGUCGUCGUCAGACUCGACACCAUGACCACCGUCUACCUUGCUCGCAAGUAUUUGUAUAUACACCAACACGUUGAUCACACAUGACGGCAUUGUUAGAAUAUAAUUUAAAUUUAAAAAUAUAGAUAAAGAAUAGAGAUCGAAUAGGUAUAAAUCAUGUAUAACUCAAGUUAUAUAUGAUUUAAACCUAUUUGAUAUCUCUAUCUUUAAAAUUAAGUUAUAUUCUAAUAGGCAUAGCACAGUAACCGAAGAAAACAACCUUCCCAAGAUGGUUGUUUUCUUCAGAAUUCAAAUAGAUCCAAACAAACUUCAUCGGUCGUAAUCUAAGGAUUAUCCUCACGGCUUCGUAAAAGGCUUAUGUCCUUGAUGUACCCCCCCUCCAGUAUCUUCUGCAGAUGUUGUGAACGUCUGGCAGGCACGUUCUGAUGACUACUCAAUAGUUCAGUGGGCCAUGUUGUACGGCUUAGAAUCGAGACUACGAAAGUGUUUUGAAUGACAUGGAGCAUAUGAGAUGUUCCGGGAGUUGAAAUUAGUAUUCCAAGCUAAUGCCCGGAUUGAGAGGUAUGAGACCUCCGAUAAGUUCUUCGCGUGCAAGAUGGAGGAGAAUAGUUCUGUCAGUAAGCACAUACUCAGAAUGUCUGGAUACUAGAACCGCUUGAAUAAGUUGGGAGUUGAGCUUUUGCCUAAGACGGUCACUGACAGAGUUCUCCACUCACUGUCGCCUAGCUAUAAGGGCUUCAUGAUGAACUUUAAUAUGCAAGGGACCCCCCCCCCCCCCCCCUCCGAGCUAUUCGUGAUGCUGAAAGUCACAUAAGUAGAAAUCAAGAAGGAGCAUCAAGUGUUGAUGGUGAAUAAAACCACUUGUUUCAAUAAAGGCAAGGGUAAAAAGUGAAACUUCAAGAAGAACGGCAAGCUUGUUGCCACUCCUAUGAAGAAACCAAGGCUAGACCCAAGCCUGAGACUGAGUGCUUCUAUUGCAAAGGGACUGGUCACUCAAAGCAUAAUUGCCCCAAGUAUUUAGCUAAUAAGAAGGAUGGCAACGUCAAGAACGGUAUGUUUCAUAUACAUAUUAUUGAUGUGUACCUUACUAGCUCUCGUAGUAGUGUCUGGGUAUUUGAUACCGGUUCGGUUGCUCGUAUUUGUAACUCGAAGCAGGAACUACAAAAUAAACUGAGGCUGGCAAAGGACGAGGUGACGAUGCGCGUCGGAAAUGGUUCCAAGGUUGAUGUGAUCAUCGUCGGCAUGCUCGCUAUUCGAUUACCAUCGGCAUUAGUUUUAAACCUAAAUAAUUGUUAUUUGGUGCCUCGUUGAGCAUGAACAUUAUAUCUGGAUCUUGUUUAUUGCGAGACUGUUAUUCAUUUAAAUCAAAGGAUAAUGGUUGUUCUAUUUAUAUGAGUACCACUUUCAUGGUCAUGGACCCAAUGUGAAUGGUUUAUUCUUGUUGAAUCUUGAUCUAGUGAUACACAUGUUCAUAAUAUUGAUGCCAAAAGAUGUAAAGUUAAUAAUGAUAGUACCACUUUCUUGUGGCACUGCCGCUUAGGUCAUAUUGGUGUAAAGCGCAUGAAGAAGCUCCAUGCUGAUGGAUUUUUGGAAUCACUCGAUUUUGAAUCGCUUGAUACAUGUGAACCAUGCCUCAUGGGCAAGAUGACAAAAACCCCGUUUUCCGGAACAAUGGAGCGGUCAAGUGACGUGUUGGAAAUCAUACAUACUAAUGUGUGCAGUCCAAUGAGUGUUGAAGCGCGCGGUGGAUAUCAUUAUUUUCUUACCUUCACUGAUGAUUUGAGUAGAUAUGGGUAUAUUUACUUAAUGAAACACAGGUCUGAAAUGUUUGAAAAGUUCAAGAAAUUUGAGAGUGAAGUUUAGAAUCAUCGUAACAAGAAGUUAAAGUUUCUACAAUCUCAUCGUGGUGGAGAAUAUCUGAGUUAUGAGUUUGGUAUGCAUUUAAGAUAGUGUGGAAUUGUUUCACAGCUCACACCAACUGGAACACCACAACGUAAUGGUGUGUCCGAACGUCGUAAUCGUAUCUUAUUAGAUAUGGUGCAUUCUAUGAUGUCUCUUACCAAUUUUCCACUAUCAUUUGGGGGUCAUGCAUUACAGACAGUUGCAUUCACUUUAAAUAGGGCACCAUCUAAAUCCGUUGAGAAGACACCGCGUGAAUUAUGAUUUGUCAAGAAACCUAUGAUAUCGUUUCUUAAAGUUUGGGGCUACGACGCUUAUGUCAAAAGGCUUUAGCUUGAUAAGCUCGAACCCAAAGCGGAGAAGUGUGUCUUGGUAGGAUAUCAUAAGGAAACAAUUGGGUACACAUUCUAUCUCAGAUUCGAAGGCAAAGUCUUCAUUGCCAAGAAUGGAUCCUUUCUAAAGAAAGAGUUUCUCUCGAAAGAAUUGAGUGGGAGGAAGGUAGAACUUGAUGAGGUUGUUGAACCGUCACUUUAAUUAGAAAGUAGCAUGGCAUAGAAAGAUGUUCCUGUGGUUCCUACACAAAUUGAGGAGGAAGCUAAUGAUGAUGAUCAUGAAACUUCGGAUCAAGUUACUAUCGAACCUCGUAGGUUGACAAGGACAUGUACUGCCCCUGAGUGAUACGGUAAUCCUGUCUUGGAGGUCAUUUUGUUGGACAACAGUGAACCUACAAGCUAUGGAGAAUAGAUGGUGGGACUAGAUUCUCACAAAUGGCUAGAGGCCAUAAAAUCCGAGAUAGUAUCCAUGUAUGAAAACAAAGUAUGGACUUUGGAGGACUUACCUGAUGAUCGUAAGGCCAUUCAGAACAAACGGAUCUUUAAAAAGAAGACAUACACGGAUGGUAAUGUCAUCGUCUAUAAAGCAUGACUUGUUGCAGAAGAGUUUUUAGAAGUUCAAGGAGUUGACUACGAUGAGACUUUCUCUCCCGUAGCGAUGCUUAAGUCCAUCAAGAUUAUGUUAGCAAUAGCUACAUUUGUCGAUUAUGAAAUCUGACAGAUGGAUGUCAAAACACUGUUCCUUAAUGGUUUCCUUCAGAAAGAGUUGUAUAUGAUUCAAUUAGAAGGUUUUGGUGAUCCUGAAAAUGCUGACAAGUAUGCAACCUCUAGCGAUCCAUUUAUGGACUGGUGCAAGCAGCUCAGAGUUGGAAUCUUCACUUUGAUGAGGUGAUCAAAGCGUUUGGAUUCAUACAAGUUUAUGGAGAAGCUUGUAUUUAGAAGAAAGUGAGUGGGAGCUCUAUGGCGUUUCUAAUAUUAUGUGUGGAUGAUAUAUUGCUGAUUGGAAACAAUAUAGAACUUUUGGAAAGCGUGAAGGUGUAUUUGAACAAGAGUUUCUCAAUGAAAGACCUCGAAGAAGCUGCUUACAUAUUAGGCAUCAAGAUCUAUAGAGAUAGAUUGAGACGUUUAAUAGGACUUUCACAACACACAUAGCUUGAUAAGGUUUUGAUGAAUUUCAAAAUGGAUCAGUCCAGGAAGGGAUGUUUGCCUAUCUUGCAAGGCCUGAAGUUGAGUAAGACUCAAUGCCCACAAACUACAAAGGAUAGAGAAAAGAUGAGCACCAUCUCAAGGAGGAGGACAGAAACAUUUAAAAAGUAAAUAGGGAUCUCAAUGUUGUGGACCCGUUGACUAAACCUCUCUCAGAAGCAAAACAUGAUCAACACCAGAACUCUAUGGGUGCUAGAUUCAUUACCAUGUAAAGAUAGAUUAUUGACUCUAGUGCAAGUGGGAUACUCUUGGAAAUAUGCCAUAGAUGCAAUAAUAAUGUGGUUAUUAUCAUAUUUCCUUGUUCAUGAUAAUCAUUUAUUAUCCAUGCUAUAAUUGUAUUGAUCAAAAACUCAGAUACAUGUGUGGAUAUAUAAACAACACCAUGCCCCUAGUGAGCCUCUACUAGACUAGCUUGUUGACCAAACAUGGUUAAGAUUUCCUAACCAUAGACAUGAGUUUUCAUUUUAUAAUGGGAUCACAUCAUUAGAAGAAUGAUGUGAUGGAUAAGACCCGACCAUAAGCAUAGCAUUUGACCGUAUCACUAAAUUAUUGCUACUUCUUUUUACAUGUUAAGUAUGUGUUCCUAAGACCAUGAGAUCAUGAAACUCCCUCACACUGGAGGAAUUACUUGUGUUUAUAAAACGUCGCUUCAUAGCUAGGUGAUCAUAAAGGUACUCUACAGGUAUCUUCGAGGGUGUCUGUUGGGUUGGCAUGGAUCGAGACUGGGAUUUUUCACUCCAUAGACGAAGAGGUAUCUCUGGGCCCUCUCGGUAAUACAACAUCACAAGAAUAUUGCACGCAAUGUGACUAAGGAGUUAGCCAAGAGAUUACAAGUAACGAGACUUGCCGAUAAUGAGAUUAAACAAGGUAUGGAGAUACACACGAUCGAAUCUCGGGCAAGUAACAUACCGAUGGACAAAGGGGACCGCAUACAGGAUUGACUGAAUCCUUGACAUCGUAGUUCGACCGAUAAAUAUAUUCAUAGAAUAUGUGGGAACCAAUAUGGGCAUCCAGGUCAUGCUAUUGGUUAUUGAUCGGAGAGUUGUCUCGGUCAUGUCUACGUGAUUCUCGAACCCGUAGUGUUCGCAUGCUUAACGUACGAUGACGAUAUGGUAUUAUUGUGUUGUAUAUGUUCAUGAUCGAAUGUUGUUCGAAGCCCCUGAUGAGAUCCAGGAAAUGAUGAGGAGCUCAGGAAUGGUCUGGAGGUAAAGAACUAUAUAUGGGAAGUUCCGUUUUGGUCAUCGGAAAGAUUUCAGACAUCACUGGCAGUGUACCGGGAGUGCCACAAGGGUUGAGGGAGUCCAUCGGAAGGAGCCCACCCGCCCUGGGGGCACGUGGGCUGAGGGGGGGUCCUCACGAGCCCCUGGUGGGCUAGGUGCCCCUCCCCACCUUGGCCCAUGCGGCUAGGGAAGGUGGAGGGCAAACCCUAGGGGGCACCACCCUAGCUUGGGGGCCAAGCCACCCCCUAGGUCGCCGCCCCUCCCUUGGAGGCAGCCCUAGGGCUAGCGCAAGCCCUCCCCCUUGGCCCUAUAUAUAUUUGGGGAGAGGGAGGGAAGUUGCACCUCAACCCUAGGUGCAGCCCCCCCCCUCUCUCCUAACUCAGUUUCUUCCUAUAAUCGCGUGAGCAACAGCACUGGGCGAAGUACUGCUGAGAUUGCUCCAUCACCACCGCCACCACACUGUCAUGCUGUUGGAGAACUCAUCUACUGCUCAGCCCUCGCUCACUAGAUCGAGGAGGCGGAGAUGUUAUCAAGCUGCAUGUGUGCUGAACGUGGAGGUGUCGUCCGCUCGACGAUGGAUCGAGACGAAUCGCGAUUGGACGUGAAGACGUACGACUACAUCAACCAUGUUAUAUACGCUUCCGCUUAGCAAACUACAAGGGCAUGUAGAUACACCCCCCUCUCAUAGCUAUGCAUAUCCAUGGACAGAUCUUGUGUGUGAGUAGGAACAUUUUUGUUUCCCAUGCAACAUUUCUCAACACCACUUGUGCUCGAUGUGGCUCGUCUCAGUCUGACUUGCUGAAAACUGUUGGUCGUUCCUAAUAGGUGUGACUAAGAGAUGCUUUGAUAUUCGUGCUAUGCGAGUUAAAUAGUGAACACAGACAAUCAAAUAACUCAUUUUCAUUGGGCCCGGAUAACCUAAUGCAGGCAACCAAACCCAUCCCACGAUGAACCACACCAAUACCCUCCUCAAUCAAUUAGUUGGAGGUUCAAACAAAUUCUUACUAGCACAGUGUUGUUUGAUGCGCGCCAUUGUGGUCAUGCUACCCGUGUGACUGCUAAGUCUUAGCAGCAAUGUUAGUGUGGUCGCGUGUUAGAAAAUUCGAAGAAUGUAUCAAUCUUCUUUCUUUUAAUACAAACAUGUAUAAAUCUACCAAGGGUCAAGUAAUCACACGAAGCAUAACAUCUUACUAGAAGGGUUGGACGCACUUUGUUGCGUUGUUGGGGUUGUUGGGUUUCUUAAAAAAUCACUUUGUUUCAAAAUAUAAGGUCUAUUACUUUAAAAAAAAUUCAAACCUUUUAAGGUUGACCAAAUUUAUAGAAAAAUAUAUUGAAAUUCAUAAUAUCAAAUUGGUACGAUUAGAUUUGUCAUGAAAUGAAUCUCCAUACUAUUGUUAUACCGUGGAUGCGGAUAUUUUUGUUGUGAACUGAAUCAAAGCACUACUAGAGAAAAGCCUAGUAGUAGUGCGGGUUUUUUCCCCUAUUAGUAGUGUGGGUGACCUCGCUACUACUAGGGUGCUACAACUAAUUGUUAGCAGUAGCACGGGGUUGGACCCGUGCUACUAGUAAUAAAAUUAUCAGUAGCGUGGUUCCGAGCCCUUGCUACCGCUAACUAUUAGCAGUGAGGUUGUGUUCCCCGUGCCACUACUAAUCACGCAUAUUUCUUUGUUUUAUUUAUAGUAUAUUUACACAUGGUUAUACAUAUUAAUACACAACAUCAAUAAUAAUUGUGGAAUAAAUAGCAUUUAGACAAAAAUGGCUGGGNNNNNGUCGAAUGAAAGGAUUCCCUUUAUUCGACACUUGUGUGCCGUCGUAACAUCAUAUUUUCCUACUGACCCAACUUAAUCACUUGCACCCAUCCAUUUUAAUCUAUUCUAUGUCAUCUAAUAACUCAUCAUCCUUAGACACAUAACACCUUAUCAUCAUCUUAAUCAUAUAACAACUCAUGACAAGUUAACCAUUAGUACACAAUGUCUCAAACUAGAAAAUGUCCUCUCUAUUAGCUAGCACAUAAUAUUCUCUCCGAGGUAGAACCUACUACUCUCUCCUAGGUAAAAUGGCAUAAAACAGGUAAGCUCCUCCCACUCCAUUGUGAAGAAUAAAGAUCCACCUAUCUCUGACAUGUGGCAUGCGCAAAUCCUUCACAUCUCCACCAAGUGGUUGUCUAUGGUCUUCCAUUAUUUUGCUAAAUCCUUUCAGUUUCAGGAUUUCAUCCCUUCUAGAAUCCGAUUGUGCAUUGUGAAAACAUGUAGGAAACCGUGGUCGUAAGCUGCUAACAUUCAAAUGACCUUCAUCAGUUCAGGCACAACCUUUGAUGGAAAUUUCUCUUGAAUAACAUAAUAAUAACAUAGUUAGCAAUCUAGUUUUGCUUAAGAAAAAUUUAUGUAUGCAAAAUAUGGACUACUUAAUGACACAAUAAUAAAAAAUAAUCUUACCCUGCUUUCUACAUGGAAGUUACUAUGGUUCAACUCGUGCACUAGUGGCACGUAUUCAGAAUAACAUUCGCCAAUAUCUUCGUAAUUGAACUUCAAAUUAUGAACAUCAUGAAUAAAUGAGAUCAGAUAAUUUUUAUCCAGCCAACUUAGAUCGGAGCCAACACUGUAGUAGGUCUGGUCUACUAUCUUUUGAGUUUUUCUUGAAGUAGAGAAAUAAGCUCACAAUUAAAAAUAAACAAGUUAAGUAGGGAGGAACACCAACCAUUUAAAAAUCAACAAUACAAAUUACUUGACAAAUAUGGUUGACAAACUGACAUAGAGCUAAAACUGAAAGCAUAUCGACAUCCACCCAAGUGUCGGUAUUACCUUCAAUAUCAUCUUCAAGACGAAUAUGGAAGGUUAUUUCCAUAUCCUCCUCAAAUCCAUAUGCCUUGCAUAGAGCUUCCCAAUUUGAGCGACCAAAAUGUGCGCGAUUGACUGCAUUGUAUAGUUUAACCCAUAAUGUGAAACCAUGUCUAGUCCUCAGGUUAGCACUCCUCAUCUCCAUAUUUUGGAAACCGAGCUUCUCUAAGACAUAACGUCUUGCAUGGCAGGGGAUGCAUUAGUCGAAUUGUAAACAAAAGAAAUUACACGUUGAAGCAAAGAAACACAUGUCAUGAUUAAUGAUGGAAAGAUAGUUGUUGUCGUUGCGUAUCAUAAAAACAUCAAAGGUCUCAUCAAGAUUGAUGGUGAAAACCUACCAUUUUGCAAGUGAGGCCUGUCGCACAAACCCUGAUCUUUGUUGCAUUAAUCACACUCAGGGAUCCCCUAGUCGUGAGACAUUUCUUGUGUUCAUGAUUAAAAGAUUCAAAAUCAAAUGCAAUUAUACCAGAAAGUAUUCAGCAUGGGUUGAAUUUCGGUUUGGCAAGGCUUUCCUUGAAAAACUGUAAUAUCUCAUGGUGUAUAUGGUGCAUACUCUCUCACACUGAUAUGAUGGUGUAUGUUGGUGGGCACUCCCUCACACUAAUAUUUCGACAAGCGGUGAUGGUCGCUCCUCCCUUCGCUCUCGCGUGCAUUACCCAAAUCUCUAGGACACGGGAACGAAAGAGGACGCGACCCCCAUGACAAUAGUCGGGAUUCUGCCUGUGAUAUUUUGACUGUCGGUGUUGGCCGUUUCCUCUUCUUCUCUCACGCAUUAUACCAAGGUAUAUAUUGUGAGAAGAAGAGCAAAUGACCCCCAUGAAAACAAUCAGGAUUCCUCCAUCAAGAACGGACAUGAAAGUCACACAAGGAACACCUACAUACUGAAAGUACCCUAAUCAACAUAAAUUAAUUUAAAUUGCAUUUAUGAACUAAUGGCAUAAAAUGGCCUACGUUUUGCUGGAAUGUCAUCUAGUUUCCGUUCUACCAAAUCAGGGGCACUCGAUAUUUCCUACUUACUAGCACAAGCCAUGCCAAACUUUUGGCAUGACCGUUUCUAAAAAAGGACAUAUCAAGCACGUGAAAUUUGCUACAACAGAAAUGAAUCAACAUUUUGGCAAAACAUAGGCCUCUCGGAGGUGUUCCCUGCAAUAACAUACACACAUGUGCGAAUAGACCUAAUUUUUACUAAAAAUUUCUAGACCUAAUUUUUUUCUACUAAAAUUUUCGAGACCUAUUUUUUUACUAAAAAUUUCUAUACCGAAUAUUUAUACUACAAGUUUCUACAGGAAUAGAGGGAGAUUUUUAGACCUGGUAUUUUUACUACAAAUUUCUACAAGAACAGAGGGGGAGGGAUGGAGGGAAGUGGUGGGAGGAGAGAGGCAGGGAAGUGAAGGGAGGAGGGAAGUGGGUCGGUGGCCGAAGGAGGAGAAGGGGCGGUGGCCAGAGGAGGGAGAAGGGAGAGGAUGUAGGGGGUAGGAGAGGGCCGGGGGAGGAGGGCGAGGAUGGAAGAGAGAGGAGGGUAGACGGAAUCAGGCUUACGACAAUGGAGGAGAUAGCAGCGAUGGUGCGAUGAGCGAGAGAGAGAGGGAGAGUGUGGUGGGAGUGAGCAACGUGGGCGAGGGGAAGAGGAUAAGAGUAGAUUAGAGGUAGCGCUUGAGGGCGAAGAGCGCAACUGCUAUAGUGUCAGCAGUAGCGCGACAAAUAAAAACUUGCUACCGCUAAGUGGGGUUGACUAGGUGGCACAGUGUGGGAGUACUUGCAGCGAGUCUUCUAAACAUGCGCUACACUAAAUUGUUUAGGAGUAGCGCGCUUCCACGACGUGCGCUACUACACUGCAUAGUCGGGUGCGUAAGCAUACCAGCAUCGCCAUUUGUUCCCCCACGCUACUGCUAAAUGAUACGUCCAUUUUGCAUCAUGUUUUUUUUUUGCUAUUUUUAGUGUUUUUAUGCAUUAUACCACUUUGUGGAGUAAUUCUAAUGCCUUCUCUCUCAUAUAUGCAAGGUUUACAUCAAGAGGGAGAAUGCGAGCAGAUGGAAUUUUGCACAUGAAAAAGCUACAUCAUAGAUACCUAUUCUACACAUCUCCAAAUGGUUUGAAACUUUACAGAGAUUUAUUUUAGAAUAAAUAAAUAAUACUAGAGGAAAGAAGUACCAGAGGGGGGCUACCAAGUGCCAACUAGGCACCAUGGCGCGCCAAACCCCCUAGCGCGGCCUGGUGGGUAGUGGGCCCCUUGGCCCACCGAUGGCGACCAUCUUAUGGUAUAAAUUCUCUUUUGACCUAAAAAAAUAAGGAGAGUACUUUUGAAAUGAAGCGCCGCCAUCUCAAGGCGGAACCUGGGUAGGAGCACUUUUGCCCUCCGGCGGAGCGAUUCCACCAGAGGAACUUCCCUCCCAGAGGGGGAAAUCGAGACCAUCGUCAUCACCAACAACCCUCUCGUCUUGGGGAGGCAAUCUUCAACAACACCAUCUCAUAUCAAAACCCUAGUUCAUCUCUUGUGCUCAAUCUUGUACCGGAACCUCGGAUUGGUACCUAGGGUGUGACUAGUAGUGUUGAUUACAUCUUGUAGUUGAUGCUUUAUGGUUUAUUUGGUGGAAGAUCUUAUGUUCAGAUCCAGUAUGCUAUUUAAUACCUCUCUGAUCAUGAGCAUGUUUAUCACUUAUUAGUAGUUAAUUUUGUUGUUGAGGCCAUGAGAGAAGUCAUGUUGCAAGUAGUCACGUGAAGUUGAUAUUCGUUCGAUAUUUUAAUGAUAUGAAUGUUGUGAUUCCCUUAGUGGUGUUAUGUGAACGUCAACUACAUAACACUUCUCCAUAUUUGGGCCUAAAGGAAUGCAUUGUGGAGUAGUAAUUAUAUGGUGGGUUGCAAGAGUGAUAGAAACUUAAACCCUAGUUUAUGCGCUAUUCCGCGAGGAGCUGAUUUGGAUCCCUAUGUUUAAUGCUAUGGUUAGAAUUUAUUCUUAAUACUUUCCUCGUAGUUGCGGAUGCUUGCGGGAGGGUUAAUCAUAAGUGGGAGAUUUUAUCAAGUAAUAAUAGCACCCAAACACCGGUCCACCCACAUAUCAAAUUAUCAAAGUACCAAACGCGAAUUAACCCGACAUGUUGAAAGUGACUAGAUGAAAUUCCCGUGUGCCCUCAAGAACGCUUUGCCUAUUAUAAGAAACCAUUCCGGCCUGUCCUUUGCCUCAAAAGGAUUGGUCUAUCUUGCUGCACCUAUUGUUACUAUUGAUACUUUGUCACUUGAUACAAUUAUCUUGCUAUCAAACAACUUAUUACCGCUAUUUCAGUGUUUGCAGAAAUUACCUUGCUGAAACUGUUUGUCAUUUACUUACGCUCCUUGUUGGGUUCGACACUCUUUAUUAUAGAAAGGACUAUGAUUGAUCCCUAUACUUGUGGGUCAUCAAGGCUCUUUUCUGGCGCCGUUGUCGGGGAGUGAAGUGCCUUUGGUAAGCACAAUUUGGUAAGGAAAAAUUUAUAUUAUGUGCUGAAAUUUACUCUUACUUGUCACUAUGGAAAGUAAUCCUUUGACGGGUUUGUUCGGGGUAUCUUCACCUCCACCGGAAACACCAAGAGUUGUCCCUCAACCUACUGAACCUACUGAAAAUGUUUAUUAUGAAAUUCCUUCGAGUAUGAUGGAGAAACUGCUAGUUAAACCUUAUGCAGGAGAUGGAACAAAACAUCUUGAUAUGCACAUAAUCUAUGUGGAUGAAGUUUGUGGAUUAUUUAAGCUUGCAGUUUUAUCCGAAAAAGAAGUCAAGAAGAAGGUUUUCCCUUUAUCUUUUGGGAGGCAAAGCAUUGAUACAGUUUAGGAUAUGUGAUGAUACAAGAUAUUGGAACUAGAAUCGAUUGCAAUUGGAGUUUCACCAAAAUAUUUUCCCUAUGCAUCUUGUUCAUCAUGAUCGGAGUUAUAUAUAUAAUUUUUGGCCUCGUGAAGGAGAAAGUAUCGCUCUAGCUUGGGGUAGGCUGAAUUAAAUGUUAUAUUCAUGCCCCAAUCAUGAGCUCCCGAGAGAAAUUAUUAUUCAUAAUUUUUAUGCUCGGCUUUCUCGUGAUGAUCAAACCGUGCUCGAUACUUCUUAUUCUGGUUCUUUUAUGAAGAAGACUAUUGAAUUCAGGUGGGGUCCCUUGGAAAGAAUUACACGUAACUCUAAAGAUUGGGAACUCGACGAAGGUAAAGAUUCAGGUAUAAAACUGAAGUUUCAUUGUGUUAAAUCAUUUAUGAAUACAGAUGAUUCAAUGAUUUUAGCAAUAAAUAUGGACUUUACUAUGAGAUAGUAACCUCAUUUUGUGAAACCUUUGCUGCUCAUGUUGAUCUCCCUAAAGAGAAAUGAUUUAAAUAUCAUCCACCUAUUAAAGUAAAGGUUGAAGAACCAAUUAAAGUUGAGGAUGAAACUAUCAUUUACAAUGUUGACCCAGUUGCGCCUACUGCUUAUAUUGAGAAACCACCUUUCCGUGUUAGGAUAAAGUAACAUGCUAAAGCUUCAACUGUGGUUAAAAAUAUUACGUUAGAACAGCCAAACCCUAUGCGCAAAUCAAGGUAGAACCUAGUAGUUCUAUGGUUAAAGAUCUCUUGGUCGAUAAUAUUGAUGGUCAUGUUAUUUAUUUCUGUGAUGAAGCUGCUAGAAUUGCCAAACCUGAUACUAAAGAUAAAAAUAGACACGUUGUUGGCAUGCCUGUCGUCUGAGUCAAAAUAGGAGAUCAUUGCUAUGAUGAUUUAUGUGAUAUGGGUGCUAGUGUUAGUUCUAUUCCUUUUACCUUAUAUCAAGAAAUUAUGCAUGAGAUAGCACGUGCUGAAAUAGAAGACACAGAUGUUACUAUUAAACUUGCUAAUAGAGACACCAUCACACCACUUGGGAUUGUUAGAGAUGUUCAAGUCUUGUGUGGAAAAGUAAAAUACCCUACUUAUUUUCUAGUACUUGGCUCACCACAAGAUAAUUUUUGUCCCAUAAUAUUUGGUAGACCCUUCUUGAACACUAUCAAUGCUCAAAUAGACUGCAAAAAGGAAACUGUGAGUGUUAAUUUUGGUGGUAUGUCUCAUGUGUUUCAUUUCUCCCAAUUUGGUAAGCAACCCCAAGAUAAAGAAUUGCCUAGUAAAUAUCAAAUAAUUGGUCUUGAUUCUAUUGCCAUUCCUCCUACUGAUCCAUUAGGAUAAUAUUUGCUAGACCAUGAAAAUGAUAGGCAUAUGCGUGAAAGAAAUGAAAUAAAUAAUACGUUCUUUGAACAACAGCCUAUCCUUAAACACAACUUGCUUGUAGAAACUCUAGGAGGUCCUCCUCCACCUAAGGGUGAUCAUGUGGUUGAGUUAAAGCUAUUACCUGUCACUUUGAAAUAUGCUUAUCUUGAUCAAAAGAAGAUAUAUCCUGUUAUUAUUAGUGCUAACCUUACAGAGCAUGAAGAAGAAAGAUUGUGAAAAACUUUAAGGAAGCACCGAGCUACUAUUGGGUGUACUCUUGAUGAUCUUAAGGGCAUUAUCCCAACUCUUUGUCAGCACAAUCUUAAUAUGGAACCAGAUGCCAAACCCAUUGUUGAUAACCAUCGAAGACUGAAUCCCAAAAUUAAAGAAGUGGUAAGAAAUGAAAUAUUGAAGCUUCUCGAAGCAGGUAUAAUUUAUCCCAUAGGUAAUAGUAGAUGGGUAAGUCUCGUUCAUUAUGUCCUUAAGAAAGGAGGUAUUAUUGUUGUUCCUAAUGAUAAAAUGAACUCAUUCCACAAAGAAUUGUGACUGUCCAUAGAAUGGUAAUUGAUUUUAGAAAAUUAAACAAGGCUAUUAGAAAAGAUCAUUAUCCUUUACCUUUCAUAGACCACAUGUUAGAAAGAUUAUCGAAGCAGACACAUUUUUGCUUUCUAUAUGGUUAUUCUAGUUUUUCUUAAAUAUCUGUGUCACAACCUGGUCAAGAGAAAACCACCUUCACUUGCCCUUUUGGAACCUAUGCUUAUAGACAUAUGCCUUUUGGAUUAUGCAAUGCCCCUGCUACCUUUCAAAGAUGUACGACUGCUAUAUUCUCGGACUUUUGUGAAAAGAUUAUUGAGGUUUUCAUGGUUGAUUUUUCCAUUUAUGGAACUUCUUUUGAUGACUGCUUAAGAAACCUUGAUCGAGUUUUCUAGAGAUGUCGGCAAACUAACAUUGUAUUGCACUGGGAGAAGUGCCAUUUUAUGGUAAAUGAAGGGAUUGUCUUGCGUCAUUAAAUUUUUGAACGAGGUAUUGAGGUGGAUAAGGCUAAAAUUGAUGCAAUUGAGAAGAUGCCAUGUCCUAAAGAUAUUAAAGGUAUCCGUAGUUUCCUUGGUCAUGUUGGUUUCUGUAGGAGGUUUAUUAAAGACUUGUCUAAAAUUUCUAGACCUCUUACCAAUUUAUUACAAAAGGAUGUUCCUUUCGUUUUUGAUGAUGACUGUGUAGAAGCCUUCGAAACACUUAAUAAAGCUUUAACUUCUGCACCUAUUGUUCAACCACUUGAUUGGAACUUGCCUUUUGAAAUUAUGUGUGAUGCUAGUGAUUGUGGUGUUGGUCCUACUCUAGGACAAAGAGUUGUUAAGAAACUAAAUGUUAUCCAUUAUGCUAGUAAAACUCUAGAGAGUGCACGGAGAAAUUAUGCUACCACUGAAAAAGAAUUCUUAGCAGUAGUAUUUUCUUGUGAUAAAUUCAGAUCUUACAUUAUUUAUUCUAAAGUAAUUGUUCACACUGAUCAUGCUGAUGUUAAAUAUCUUAUGGAAAAUAAAGAUGCUAAACCUAGACUUAUUAGGUGGCUUCUUCUGUUACAAGAAUUUGAUGUGCAUAUCAUUGAUAGGAAAGGAUCUGAGAACCCCGUAGCUGAUAACUUGUCUACGUUAGCAAAUGUUCUUGAUGACCCACUACCUAUUGAUGAUAGCUUCCUUGAUGAACAACUAGUUGUGGUCAAUGUUUCUCAUAACACACAGUGGUUUGCUGAUUACGCUAAUUACAUUGUUGCUAAAUACAUACCACCCAGUUUCACUUAUCAGCAAAAGAAAAAAAUCUUCUUUGACUUAAGACAUUACUUUUGGGAUGACCCACAUCUUUAUAAAGAGGGAGCAGAUGGUAUUAUUAGACGUUGUAUACCUGAGCAUGAACAGGAACAAAUCCUUCAGAAGUGUUACUCCGAGGCUUAUGGAGGACACCAUGCGGGAGAUAGAACUGCACACUGUUGGAAAUAUGCCCUAGAGGCAGUGAUAAAAUAGUUAUUAUUAUAUUUCCUGUUUCAAGAUAAUCGUUUAUUAUCCAUGCUAUAAUUGUAUUGAAUGAAAACAUAGAUACAUGUGCGGAUACAUGGACAAAACAAUGUCCCGAGCAAGCCUCUAGUUGGCUAGCCAGUUGAUCAAGGAUAGUCAAGGUUUUUUGACUAUAUGCAAGUGUUGUCACUUGAUAACUCGAUCACAUCAGGAAUCAUGUGAUGGACUAGACCCAAACUAUGAACGUAGCAUGUGAUCGUGUCAAUUUGUUGCUAUUGUUUUCUGCCUGUCAAGUAUUUAUUCCUAUGACCAUGAGAUUAUAUAACUCACUGUCACCGGAGGAAUACCUUGUGUGCAUCAAACGUCACAACUUAACUGGGUGACUAUAAAGGUGCUCUACAGGUAUCUGUGAAGGUGUCUGUUGAGUUAGUAUGGAUCAAGACUGGGAUUUGUCACUCCGUGUGACGGAGAGGUAUCUCGGGGCCCAAUCGGUAAUACAACAUCACACACAAGCCUUGCAAGCAAUAUGAUUAAGUGUAAGUCACGGGAUCUUAUAUUACGGAACGAGUAAAGAGACUUACCGGUAACGAGAUUGAAAUAGGUAUGCGGAUACCAACGAUCGAAUCUCGGGCAAGUAACAUACCGAAGGAUAAAGGGAAUGACAUACGGGAUUAUAUGAAUCCUUGGCACUAAGGUUCAACCGAUAAGAUCUUCAGAGAAUAUGUACAAUCCAAUAUGGGCAUCCAGGUCCCGCUAUUGCAUAUUGACCGAGCAGUGUCUCGGGUCAUGUCUACACAGUUCUCGAACCCGCAGGGUCUGCACACUUAAGGUUCGAUGAUGUUUUAGUAUAGUUGAGUUAUAUGUGUGGUUAUCGAAUGUUGUUAGGAGUCCCGGAUGAUAUCACAGACGUCAGAGGGUUUCCAGAAUGGUCCAGAAACGAAUAUUGAUAUAUAGGAUGGUUUCAUUUGGUCACCGGAAAGUUUCGGGCAUUUCCGGCAGUGUACCGGGAGUGAUGAAUGGGUUCCGGGUGUUCACCGGGAGGGGCCCACCCACCCGGGAGUGGGCCAAGUAACCUUAGGGUGGCGCACCAGCCCUUAGUGGGCUGGUGGAGCCAGCCCAAGAAGGCUAUUGCGCCACAAGUGAAAAAACCAAAGGAAAAAAAGGAAAGAGGAAGGUGGGAAGGAAGAGGAGGACUCCUCCUUCCCAAACCGAAUUGGAGAAGGAGUCCUCCUCUCCACUUCGGCUAGCACACCCUUGGGGCCGUUGUGCCCCAAGGCUAGCCCCUCCCCUCCACUUAUAUAUACUGGUGGUUUUAGGGUUUUUGACACACAACUUUUCCACGUGCAACUCAAACCUAUACCACAUAGUUUUGCCUCUAGAUCGGAUUUCUACGGAGCUCAGGCGGAGCCCUGCAGGAGUAGAUCGUUGAUACGUCCAUUUUGCAUCAUGCUUUUAUGUUGAUAUUUAUCGCUUCUUGGGCUGUUAUUUCACUUCACGGUACAAUACUUAUGCCUUUUCUCUCUUAUUUUGCAAGGUUUACAUGAAGAGGGAGAAUGCCGGCAACUGGAAUUCUGGCCUGAAAUUGGAGCAAGUUUGAGAUACCUAUUCUGCGCAACUCCAAAUGCCGUAAAAAUCAACGAGGAUUUUUUCGGGAUUUAUAAAAAAUACUGGGCCAAAGAAGUGCCAGAGGGGCCCCAGCAGGUGGCCACAAGCUUGCUAGGCGCGGCCACCCCAUGGCCGCGGCUAGGGGGCUUGUGGGCACUCAGCUGGCCCUCUGGCUUCCCCCUUUUGCUACAAGAAGGGUCUCGUCCAGAAAAAAAAAUCAGGAGGAGGCUUUUUCGAGGAUUCGCGGCCGCCACGAGGCGGAACUUGAGCAGAACCAAUCUAGAGCUCUGGUAGGAUGAUACUACCGGGGAAACUUCCCUCNUCCAAACCCUAGUUCAUCUCUUGUAACCAAUCUCCGUCUCGCAACUCCGGUUGGUACUUGUAAGGUUGCUAGUAGUGUUAAUUACUCUUUGUAGUUGAUGCUAGUUGGAUUAUUUGGUGGAAGAGUUUAUGUGAUUAUGCUUUGUGAUUAGUUACUUUUGUUCCUGAGGACAUGGGAUAAGUCAUGCUAAUAGUAGUCCUGUGAAUUUGGUAUUCGUUUGAUAUUUUGAUGUGUUGUAUGUUUCUUUUUCCUCUAGUGGUGUUAUGUGAAUGUCGACUACAUAACACUUCACCAUUAUUUGGGCCUAGAGGAAGGCAUUGGGAAGUAGUAACUAGAUGAUGGGUUGCUAGAGUGACGGAAGCUUAAACCCUAGUUUAUGCGUUGCUUCGUAAGGGGCUGAUUUGGAUCCACUAGUUUAAUGCUAUGGUUAGACUUUGUCUUAAUUCUUCUUUUGUAGUUGCGGAUGCUUGCGAGAGGGGUUAAUCAUAAGUGGGAUUCUUGUCCAAGUAAGGGCUGUACCCAAGUUCCGGUCCACCCACAUAUCAAACUAUCAAAGUAACGAACGUGAAUCAUGUGAACAUGAUGAAAACUAGCAUGAUAGAAAUUCCCGUGUGUCCUCGGGAGCGUUUUUCCUCCUAUAAGACUGUGUCCAGGCUUGUCCCUUGCUACAAAAGGGAUUGGGCCACUUUGCUGCACCGUUGCUACUUUUGUUACUUGUUGCUUGCUACGAAUCAUCUCACCACGCAACUACUUGUUACCGAUAAUUUCAGUGCUUGCAGAUACUUCCUUGCUGAAAACCACUUGUCAGAUCCUUCUGCUCCUCGUUGGGUUCGACACUCUUACUUAUCGAAAGGACUAUGAUAGAUCCCCUAUACUUGUGGGUCAUCAAGACUCUUGUCUGGCACCAUUGCCGGGGAGUGAAGCGCCUUUGGUAAGUGGAACUUGGUAAGGAAACAUUCAUAUAGUGUGCUGAAAUUUAUUGUCACUUGUCACUAUGGAAACUAAUCCUUUGAGGGACUUGUUCGGGGUAUCUUCACCUCGAAUGGAAGCACAAAGAGUUGCUCCUCAACCUGCUGCACCUACUGAAAAUUUUUCUUUGAAUUUCCUUCAGAUAUGCUUGAGAAACUGCUGGCUAAUCCUUCUACAGGAGAUGCAACAUCACAUCCAGACUUGCAUCUAAUCUAUGUAGAUGAAGUUUGUGGUUUAUUUAAGCUUGCAGGUUAGCCCGAGGAUGAGGUCAAGAAGAAGGUCUUUCUUUUAUAUUUCAAGUAUAAGGCGUUAACAUGGUAUAGGCUAUGUGAUGAUACUGGAUCAUGGAACUACAAUCGGUUGAAAUUGGAAUUUCAUCAAAAGUUUUAUCCUAUGCAUUUAGUACAUCGUGAUCGGAAUUAUAUUUAUAAUUUUUGGCCUUGUGACAGAGAAAGCAUCGCUCAAGCUUGGGGGAGGCUUAAAUCAAUGUUAUAUUCAUGCCCCAACCAUGAGCUCCCGAGAGAAAUUAUCAUUCAGUACUUCUAUGCUCGGCUUUCUCAUGAUGAUCGCACCAUGCUUGACACUUCUUGUACCGGUUCUUUUACGAAGAGAGAUAUUGACUUUAGAUGGAAUUUAUUGGAGAGAAUUAAACACAACUCUGAAUAUUGGGAGCUUGAAGAAGGUAAGGAGUCAGGUAUGAAUUCCAAGUUUGAUUGCAUUAAAUCCUUUGUUGAAACAAAUACUUUUUGUGACUUUAGCUCUAAGUAUGGACUUGACUAUGAGAUAGUAGCUUCAUUGUGUGAAUCAUUUGCUGCUCAUAUUGAUCUCCCCAAAGAGAAGUGGUUUAAAUAUCACCCUCCUUUAGAAGUCAAUGUAGUUAAACCCAAUCCAGUUGAAGAGAAAGUCAUUCCCUAUAAUGAUCCUAUUGUUCCGAGUGCUUACAUUCAGAAACCACCUUUCCCUAUUAGGAGAAAGGAUCAUUCUACUGCUUCAACUGUGAUACGUAGAGGCUACAUUAGAACACCUACACCCCCUGAGCAAAUUAGAGUUGAACCUAGCAUUGCUAUUAUCAAACAUCUUCUGUCCGACGAUGUUGAGGGACAUGAUAUUCAUUUCUGUGAAGAUGCUGCUAGAAUUGCUAAAACUCACGCUAGAGACAAACAUAGGCCUAUUGUUGGCACGCCUGUUGUUUCUGUUAUGAUAGGAGAUCAUUGUUAUCAUGGUUUAUGUGACGUGGGUGCUAGUGUUAGUGCAAUACCUCAAUCCUUAUAUGAUGAAAUCAAAGACAACAUUGCAUCUAUUGAGAUAGAACCUAUUGAUGUCACUAUUUAGCUUGCCAAUAGAGAUACUAUCUGCCCUGUGGGAAUUGUUAGGGAUGUUGAAGUCUUGUGUGGUAAAACAAAGUAUCCUGCUGAUUUCCUCAUUCUUGCUACCGCACAAGAUAGCUUUUGUCCCAUCAUAUUUGGCAGACCUUUUCUCAAUACUGUCAAUACUCAUAUUGAUUGUGAGAAGCAAACUGUCACUGUUGGCUUUGAAGGUGUGUCACACGAGUUCAAUUUCUCCAAGUUUGGUAGACAACCUCAUGAAAAAGAGUCGCCUAGUAAGGAUGAAACUAUUGCCUUAGCUUCUAUUGUCGUGCCUCCUACUGAUCCCUUAAAGCAAUACUUGCUUGAGCAUGAAAAUGAUAUGCAUAUGGAUGAAAGGGAUGAGAUAGAUGGAGUUGUCUUAGAAAAAUAUCCUAUUCUUAAGAAUAACUUGCCUGUUGAACUGCUUGGGGAUCCACCCCCACCAAAGGGUGAUCCUGUGUUCGAGCUUAAACAGUUGUCUGAUACUCUUAAGUAUGCUUAUCUUGAUGAAAAAGAGAUAUAUCCUGUUAUAAUUAGUGUUAGCCUCUCACAGCAUGAAGCAAAUAAGUUACUAAAAACUCUGAGAAAGGACAGUGCUGCUAUUGGAUAUACUCUUGAUGAUCUUAAGGGCAUUAGUCCCACUCUAUGCCAGCACAAGAUUAAAACUGAUCCUGAUUCCAAACCAGUUGCUGAUCAUCAAAGGAGAUUAAAUCCUAAGAUGAAAGAAGUAGUGAGAAAAUAAAUACUAAAGCUCCUGGAAGCGGGUAUCAUCUAUCAUGUUGCUCAUAGGGACUGCGUGAGUCCGGUGCAUUGCGUCCCUAAGAAGGGAGGUAUUACCGUUGUCCCUAAUGAUAAUGAUGAAUUGAUCCCAUAGAGGAUUAUUACUGGCUAUAGGAUGGUGAUCGAUUUUAGGAAAUUGAAUAAAGCCACUAGGAAAGAUCAUUACCCUUUGCCUUUUAUCGACCAAAUGCUAGAAAGAUUGUCUAAACACACACACUUCUGCUUUCUAGACAGUUAUUCUGGUUUCUCCCAAAUACCAGUUGCACAAUCUGAUCAGGAGAAAACCACUUUCACCUGCCCUUUCGGUACCUUUGCUUAUAGACGUAUGCCGUUUGGGUUAUGUAAUGCACCUGCCACCUUUCAAAGAUGUAUGAUGGCUAUAUUCUCUGACUUUUGUGAAAAUAUUGUCGAGGUUUUCAUGGAUGACUUCUCUGUUUACGGGUCUUCCUUUGAUGAUUGCCUCAGCAACCUUGAUCGAGUCUUGCAGAGAUGUAAAGACACCAAUCUUGUCUUGAAUUGGGAGAAGUGCCACUUUAUGGUUAAUGAAGGCAUCGUCUUAGGACAAAAAUUUCUGAAAGAGGUAUUGAAGUCGAUAAGGCUAAGGUUGAUGCAAUCGAGAAAAUGCCAUACCCCACAGAUAUCAAAGGUAUAAGAAGUUUCCUUGGUCAUGUUGGUUUCUAUAGAAGGUUCAUUAAAUACUUCUCUAAGAUUUCUAGGCCUCUUGCCAAUCUCUUGCAAAAGUAUAUUCCUUUUGUUUUCGACGAUGAUUGUGAGGAAGCCUUAGAAAUACUUAAGAAGGCUUUGAUAACUGCACCUAUUGUUCAACCACCUGAUUGGAACCUACCUUUUGAGAUCAUGUGUGAUGCUAGCGAUUAUGCUGUUGGUGCUGUCCUAGGGCAAAGAGUUGAUAAGAAGUUGAAUGUUAUUCACUAUGCUAGUAAAACUCUAGACAGUGCCCAAAGAAACAAUGCAACUACGGAAAAGGAAUUUUUAACAGUCAUGUUUGCAUGUGAAAAGUUCAGGUCUUACAUAGUUUAUUCCAAAGUCACUAUUCACACUGAUUACGCUGCUAUUAAGUACCUCAUGGAGAAGAAAGACGCUAAACCUAGACUUAUCAAAUGGGUUCUCUUGCUACAAGAAUUUGAUUUGCACGUUGUCGACAGGAAGGGUGCUGAUAACCCCGUAGCAGAUAACUUGUCUAGGUUGGAGAAUGUUCUUGAUGACCCACAACUUGUUCAUGAUAGCUUUCCCGAUGAGCAAUUGCCCCCCAGUUCACGUAGUGCACCGUGGUAUGCUGAUUAUGCAAACUAUAUCUUUGCCAAAUAUAUACCACCUAGUUUCACGUACCAGCAGAAGAAGAAAUUCUUCUUUGACUUGAGACAUUACUUUUGGGAUGAUCCUCACCUUUAUAAGGAAGGAGUAGAUGGUGUUAUUAGACGUUGUGUACCUAAACAUGAACAGGGACAGAUCCUACAGAAGUGUCACUCCGAGACCUAUGGAGGACACCAUGCUGGAGAUAGAACUGCACACAAGGUAUUGCAAUCAGGUUUCUAUUGGCCCACUCUCUUCAAGGAUGCCCGUAAGUUUGUCUUGUCUUGUGACAAUGUCAAAGAGUAGGUAAUAUCGGUAAAUGUCGGGAAAUGCCUAUGAACUAUUCACUUGUCAUUGAACCAUUUGAUGUUUGGGGCUUUGAUUAUAUGGGACCUUUUACAAAAUCCAACGGGUAUACUCACAUCCUAGUUGCUGUUGACUACGUCACUAAGUGGGUAGAAGCUAUCCCCACUAGUAGUGCUGAUCACAACACUUCUACCAGGAUGCUUAAAGAAGUUAUUUUCCCUAGAUUUGGAGUCCCUAGAUAUCUAAUGACCGACGGUGGUUCACACUUCAUUCAUGGUGCUUUCCAUAAAACGCUUGCUAAGUAUGAUGUUAACCAUAGAAUUGUGUCUCCCUAUCACCCUCAGUCCAGUGGUCAAGUACAGCUAAGCAAUAGAGAAAUUAAACUAAUUCUUCAAAAGACUGUCAACAGGUCUAGAAAGAAUUGGUCUAAGAAGCUCGAUGAUGCACUGUGGGCUUAUAGAACUGCCUAUAAGAAUCCCAUGGGCAUGUCACCGUACAAAAUGGUGUACAGUAAAGCAUGUCAUUUACCUCUUUAGCUAGAGCAUAAAGCUUAUUGGGCAAUCAAAGAGCUCAACUUUGAUUUCAAACUUGCUGGUGAGAAGAGGUUAUUUGAUAUUAGCUCGCUUGAUGAGUGGAGAACUCAGGCAUAUGAGAAUGCCAAGUUGUUCAAAGAAAAGGUUAAGAGGUGGCAUGAUAAAAGGAUACAAAAGCGUGAGUUCAAUGUAGGUGAUUAUGUCUUGCUAUAUAAUUCUCGUUUAAGAUUUUUUGCAGGCAAGAUUCUCUCUAAAUCGGAAGGUCCCUAUAUUGUUGAGGAAGUAUAUCGUUUUGGUGCUAUCAAGAUCAACAACACGGAAGGUAAUUGUCCGAGAGCUGUAAAUGGGCAGAGAAUCAAGCAUUAUAUCUCAGGUACUCCCAUAAAUGUUGAAAGCAAUAUCAUCAAUACCAUAACUCCGGAAGAAUACCUAAGGUAUAUUUAUCAGCCUGUUUCAGACGCCGAAAACGAAGAGGUAUGUGAUUCGGUAAGAAAACAUACUCCAAAACUUUUCCAAUAGGAAUUUUUCUCCGUUUUGGAAUAUUUGAAAAAUAGAAAAAUUGGAAGUAGUUCGGAAAGCGCGCGAGGAGGCAACAAGCCUGCCAGGCGCGGGGCCACCCCGUGGCUGCGCCUGGGGGGCUUGUGGCCACCUCGUGUGCCUCCCGGACUCUGUUUUCAUGCGGAGUACUCCUUCUGGUGUGGAAAAAUCAUUAUAUAUUCUCCCGUAAGGUCUGACCCUCGUAUCAUGCGAAUUUCCUCUGUUUUCGUUUCGAGCCCGUUUUCUGUCGCAGAUUUAGAGCAAGGAUGCCAUCUCAGGAAUCUGUCGGGGAGAACAAUUUCCCUCAAGUCUAUGAAGAAGUAGAUGCUGAUCUGAAAAGAGUGAAAGUCACAGAAGCCAAGGGUAGAACUAGGGAGAGGAAUCAGGCGUGGGACGAAGUGCAAUCUGUGUUCAACAAGGAAGAAGUUGAAGAAGUGGAUUUCCUCCAACCCUACCUCUACCUACUGUCUCCAUGCUUGAUUGAACUCUUAAGGUUUUGUGAAACAACUCGUGCUCGCAAUACUUAUCUGACUCGUGAAGUUGUUUUGCUGGAGAAACAUAUCACAGAUCUCCAAGGCAUAAAUCAAAGACUGGUGGCCCUCUUGGAAUCAAAGGACAAAACAACGCCAUCACCAUCACCUCCAAAGGAAGACAACUAAGCAUGGGUAUGGGCAAUCCCCUUGGCUUGUGCCAAGCUUGGGGGAGUUGCCCCGGUAUCGUAUCACCAUCACAUCUUUUGCCUUUACCUUUGUUUUAGUUUGUUCCUUUUCAGUUUUCUUUUUCUCUAGUAGACUAAAAGUCUUAGUGUUUUAGUCUUGAGUUUUGCUUUGUGUCACCCCCGAUGUAUUCGAGCUCGUGAGCCAUAUAAUAAAGAGUGUCUUAGUUGAAGGGCUUUGCCUCAUGCCAUGAUCAAUAGAUUGAGAAAAGAACAAAAGCAUGAAAGAUCAUGUAAUGAUCUUAUGGGAAGCGAUGGCUUCACAUAUAAAAAGAAUGUUGAUUGAAACUUGUUGAGGGUAGACAAACAUAGACCUUGGUCAUUGUUGCAAUUCAUAGGAAGUGAUAAAGAAGGAGAGGUUCACAUAUAAAUAUAUCAUCUUUGACACCAUCUAUUAUUGUGAACACUCACUAAACUAUUGCUUGCUUAGAAGUAGAUGUUGGACAAGGAAGACAACAUAAUGAAUUGUGUUUACUUGGUUCCAAACAAUGUUAUAUGAUUAGAGAUCCCUUAGCAUGUGAAGAUUUCUUCCACCUAAUAUUAGCCAAAACUCCCGCACCAAGUAGAAAUACUACUUGUGCAUCUAUAAACCUUCAACCCAGUUUUGCCAUGAGAGUCCACCAUACCUACCUAUGGAUUGAAUAAGAUCCCUCAAGUAAGUUGUCAUCGGUGCAAGCAAUAAAAAUUGUUCCCUAAUAUGUAUGAUCUAUUAGUGUGUGGAAAUUAAGCUUUGUACGAACCUGUGAUGAGGAAGACAUAAAAGCAACAUACUGCAUAAUAAAGUUCUUUAUCACAGGAGGCAAUGUAAAGUGACGUUCAUCCGCACUAAGAGGACACGCAUCCAAACCUCAAAAGCGCAUGACAACCUCUGCUUCCCUCUGCGAAGGGCCUAUCUUGUACCUUUACUUUUUGCCCUUGAAAGAGUCAUGGUGAUCUUCACCAAUUCGUUGUUUCGCCUUUAUCUUGGCUAACGUCAUAUGCUAGGGAAAGAUCUAUAUUCAUAUGUCAACUUGGAAGUAAGUAUUCAUGAAUUAUUGUUGUUGACAUUACCCUUGAGGUAAGCAGUUGGGAGGCAAAACUAUAAGCCCCUACCUUUCUCUGUGUCCAGCUGAAACUUUGAUCUCAUGAGUACCACGUGAGUUGUAGCAAUUGUAGAGAACGAAAGGAUGAUUGAGUAUGUGGAUUUGCUUUACAAGCUCUUAUUUGACUCUUUCUGAUGUUUUGAUAAAUUGCAAUUGCUUCAAUGACUACAUGCUAUCGGUUGUUACUUCUCGGUAAGGUUCUUGAUCCAUACUUUACUUUGUGAAGGAAUUGUCACUUUAGCAUGAGAGAUUAUAUGUUGGUGUUGCUGUUCUGAUCAUGAUCAUGAUGCAUGCAUGUUCGUAUUUUGUUUUGUCGACACAUCUGUCCCUAAACAUGUGGUCAUAUUUAUUGAGCUCGGCUUUCGCUUGAGGACAAGCGAGGUCUAAGCUUGGGGGAGUUGAUACGUCCAUUUUGCAUCACGCUUUUAUGUUGAUAUUUAUCGCUUCUUGGGUUGUUAUUUCACUUCACGGUACAAAACUUAUGCAUUUUCUCUCUUAUUUUGCAAGGUUUACAUGAAGAGGGAGAAUGCCGGCAGCUGGAAUUCUGGCCUGAAAUUGGAGCAAGUUUGAGAUACCUAUUCUGCGCAACUCCAAACGCCGUAAAAAUCAAUGAGGAUUUUUUUCGGGAUUUAUAAAAAAUACUGGGCCGAAGAAGUGCCAGAGGGGCGCCAGCAGGUGGCCACAAGCCUGCUAGGCACGGCCACCCCCUGGCCGCGCCUAGGGGUCUUGUGGGCACCCAGCUGGCCCUCUGGCUUCCCCCUUUUGCUACAAGAAGGGUUUCAUCCGGAAAAAAAUCAAGAGGAAGCUUUUUCGAGGAUUCGCCGCCGCCACGAGGCGGAACUUGAGCACAACCAAUCUAGAGCUCCGGCAGGACGAUCCUGCCGGGGAAACUUCCCUCCCGAAGGGGGAAAUCGUCGCCAUCGUCAUCACCAACACUCCUCUCAUCGGAGGGGACUCAUCACGAUCAACAUCUUCAUCAGCACCAUCUCAUCUCCAAACCCUAGUUCAUCUCUUGUAACCAAUCUCCGUCUCGCGACUCCGAUUGGUACUUGUAAGGUUGCUAGUAGUGUUAAUUACUCUUUGUAGUUGAUGCUAGUUGGAUUAUUUGGUAGAAGAGUUUAUGUUCAGAUCCUUGAUGCUACUCAUUACCUCUCUGGUCAUGAAUAUGAUUAUGCUUUGUGAGUAGUUAUUUUUGUUCCUGAGGACAUUGGAUAAGUCAUGCUAAUAGUAGUCAUGUGAAUUUGGUAUUCGUUCGAUAUUUUGAUGUGUUGUAUGUUGUUUUUCCUCUAGUGGUGUUAUGUGAACGUCGACGACAUAACACUUCACCAUUAUUUGGGCCUAGAGGAAGGCAUUGGGAAGCAGUAAGUAGAUGAUGGGUUGCUAUAGUGACAGAAGCUUAAACCCUAGUUUAUGCGUUGCUUCGUAAGGGGCUGAUUUGUAUCCACUAGUUUAAUGCUAUGGUUAGACUUUGUCUUAAUUCUUCUUUCAUAGUUGCGGAUGCUUGCGAGAGGGGUUAAUCAUAAGUGGGAUGCUUGUCUAAGUAAGGGCAGUACCCAAGCGCUGGUCCACCCACAUAUCAAACUAUCAAAGUAACGGACGUGAAUCAUAUGAACAUGAUGAAAACUAGCAUGCCAGAAAUUCCCGUGUGUCCUCGGGAGAGUUUUUCCUCCUAUAAGACUUUGUCCAUGCUUGACCCUUGCUAAAAAAGGGAUUGGGCCACUUUGCUGCAUCGUUGCUACUUUUGUUACUUGUUGCUUGCUACGAAUCAUCUCACCACACAACUACUUGUUACCGAUAAUUUCAGUGCUUGCAUAUACUUCCUUGCUGAAAACCACUUGUCAGAUCCUUCUGCUCCUCGUUGGGAUCGACACUCUUACUUAUCGAAAGGACUACGAUAGAUCCCCUAUACUUGUGGGUCAUCAAGACUCUCUUCUGGCGCAGUUGCCGGCGAGUGAAGCGCCUUUGGUAAGUGGAACUUGGUAAAGAAAAAUUCAUAUAGUGUGCUGAAAUUUAUUGUCACUUGUCACUAUGGAAACUAAUCCUUUGAGGGGCUUGUUUGGGGUAUCUUCGCCUCGAACGGAAACACAAAGAUUUGCUCCUCAACCUGCUGCACCUACUGAAAAUAUUUUCUUUGAAUUUCGUACGGGUAUGCUUGAGAAACUGCUGGCUAAUCCUUUUACAGGAGAUGGAACAUCACAUCCAGACUUGCAUCUAAUCUAUGUAGAUGAAGUUUGUGGUUUAUUUAAGCUUGCAGGUUAGCCCGAGGAUGAGGUCAAGAAGAAGGUCUUUCCUUUAUCUUUGAAGGAUAAGGCGUUAACAUGGUACAGGCUAUGUGAUGAUACUGGAUCACGGAACUACAAUUGGUUGAAAUUGGUAUUUCAUCAAAAGUUUUAUCCUAUGCAUUUAGUACAUCGUGAUCGGAAUUAUAUUUAUAAUUUUUGGCCUCGUCAUAGAGAAAUCAUCACCCAAGCUUGGGGGAGGCUUAAAUCAAUGUUAUAUUCAUGCCCCAACCAUGAGCUCUCGAGAGAAAUUAUCAUUCAGAACUUCUAUGCUCGGCUUUCUCAUGAUGAUCGCACCAUGCUUGACACUUCUUGUACCGGUUCUUUUACGAAGAGAGAUAUUGACUUUAGAUGGAAUUUAUUGGAGAGAAUUAAACACAACUCUGAAUAUUGGGAGCUUGAAGAAGGUAAGGAGUCAGGUAUGAAUUCCAAGUUUGAUUGCAUUAAAUCCUUUGUUGAAACAAAUACUUUUUGUGACUUUAGCUCUAAGUAUGGACUUGACUAUGAGAUAGUAGCUUCAUUGUGUGAAUCAUUUGCUGCUCAUAUUGAUCUCCCCAAAGAGAAGUGGUUUAAAUAUCACCCUCCUUUAGAAGUCAAUGUAGUUAAACCCAAUCCAGUUGAAGAGAAAGUCAUUGCCUAUAAUGAUCCUAUUGGUCCCAGUGCUUACAUUGAGAAACCACCUUUCCCUGUUAUGAAAAAGGAUCAUUCUAAAGCUUCAACUGUGAUACGUAGAGGCUACAUUAGAACACCUACACCCCCUGGGCAAAUUAGAGUUGAACCUAGCAUUGCCAUUAUCAAAUAUCUUCUGUCCGACGAUGUUGGGGGACAUGAUAUUCACUUCUGUGAAGAUGCUGCUAGAAUUGCUAAACCUCAUGCUAUAGACAAACAUAGGCCUGUUGUUGGCAUGCCUGUUGUUUCUGUUAAGAUAGGAGAUCAUUGUUAUCAUGGUUUAUGUGACGUGGGUGCUAGUGUUAGUGCAAUACCUCAAUCCUUAUAUGAUGAAAUCAAAGACGAGAUUGCACCUAUUGAGAUAGAACCUAUUGAUGUCACUAUUCAGCUUGCCAAUAGAGAUACUAUCUGCCCUGUGGGAAUUGUUAGGGAUGUUGAAGUCUUGUGUGGUAAAACGAAGUAUCCUGCUGAUUUCCUCGUUCUUGCUACCGCACAAGAUAGCUUUUGUCCCAUCAUAUUUGGCAGACCUUUUCUCAAUACUUUCAAUGCUCAUAUUGAUUGUGAGAAGCAAACUGUCAUUGUUGGCUUUGAAGGUGUGUCACACGAGUUCAAUUUCUCCAAGUUUGGUAGACAACCUCGUGAAAAAGAGUUGCCUAGUAAGGAUGAAACUAUUGGCUUAGCUUCUAUUGCCGUGCCUCCUACUGAUCCCUUAGAGCAAUACUUGCUUGAGCAUGAAAAUGAUAUGCAUAUGGAUGAAAGGGAUGAGAUAGAUAGAGUUGUCUUAGAACAAUAUCCUAUUCUUAAGAAUAACUUGCCUGUUGAACUGCUUGGGGAUCCACCCCCACCAAAGGGUGAUCGUUUUUUCGAGCUUAAACAGUUGCGUGAUACUCUUAAGUAUGCUUAUCUUGAUGAACAAGAGAUAUAUCAUGUUAUAAUUAGUGUUAGCCUCUCAGAGCAUGAAGAAAAGAAGUUACUAAAAACUCUGAGAAAGCACCGUGCUGCUAUUGGAUAUACUCUUGAUGAUCUUAAGGGCAUUAGUCCCACUCUAUGCCAGCACAAGAUUAAAACUGAUCCUGAUUCCAAACUAGUUGCUGACCAUCAAAGGAGAUUAAAUCCUAAGAUGAAAGAAGUAGUGAGAAAAGAAAUACUAAAGCUCCUGGAAGCUGUACCACUACAUCAACCGCGUUUCUUAACGCUUCCCGCUUAGGGAUCUACAAGGGUACGUAGAUCUAAUCUCCUCUCAUAGAUGGACAUCACCAUGAUAGGUCUUCGUGUGCGUAGGAAAUUUUUUGUUUCCCAUGCAAUGUUCCCCAACAGUGGCAUCAUGAGCUAGGUUCAUGCGUAGACAUUAUCUCGAGUAGAACACAAAAAAAUUUGUGGACGUUGAUGUUUGAUUUGCUGCCCUCCUUAGUCUUUUCUCGAUUCGGCGGUAUUGUUGGAUUGAAGCGGCCUGGACCGACAUUACUCGUACGCUUACGAGAGACUGGUUUCAUCGACUAACAUGCAACUCGUUGCAUAAAGAAGACUGGCGGGUGUUUAUUUCUUCAACUUUAGUUGAAUUGGUUUUGACCGAGGCGGUCCUUGGAGAGAGGUUAAAUAGCAAUUUGCACAUCUCCGUUGUGGUUUUUACGUAAGUAAGAUGCGAUCAUACUGGAUACCCAUAGCAGCCACGUAAAACAUGAAACAACAAAUUAGAGGACGUCUAACUUGUUUUUGCAGGGUAUGCUUGUGAUAUGAUAUGGCCAAUGAUGUGAUGUGAUAUAUUGGAUGUAUGAGAUGAUCAUGUUCUAAUAGUUAAUAUCGACUUGCACGUCGAUGCUACGGCAACCGGGAGGAGCCAUAGGGUUGCCUUUAAACUAACAUUUGUGUUUGCAGAUGCGUUUACUAUAUUGCUAGGUCGUAGCUUUAGUAGUAAUAGCAUAGAUAGCACGACAACCUCGAAGGCGGCACGAUGAUGGAGAUCAUGGUGUGGCGCCGAUGACAAGAAGAUCAUGCCGGUGCUUUGGUGAUGGAGAUCAAGAAGCACAAGAUGAUGGCCAUAUCAUGUCACUUAUGAGUUGCAUAGGAUGUUAAUCCUUUUAUGCACCUUAUUUUGCUUAGAACAAUGGUAGCAUUAUAAGGUGACCUCUCACUAAAAUUUCAAGAUGAAAUUGUGUUCUCCUCGACUGUGCACCGUUGCGACAGUUCGUCGUUUCGAGACACCACGUGAUGAUCGGGUGUGAUAGACUCAACGUUCACAUACAACGGGUGCAAAACAGUUGCACAUGCGGAACACUCGGGUUAAACUUGACGAGCCUAGCAUGUGCAGACAUGGUCUUGGAACACAUGAGACCGAAAGGGCGAGCAUGAAUCGUAUAGUUGAUAUGAUUAGCAUAGAUAUGCUUACCACUAACACUAUUCUCAACUCACGUGAUGAUCUGACUUGAGUUAGUGAAUUUGGAUCAUGUGCCACUCAAAUGACUCGAGAGAUGUACUUUUGGAGUGGGAGUUUAUCAGUAAUUUGAUUAGUUAAACUCUAAUUAUCUUAAACAUAGUCUAAGUCCACUUUGCAAUAUUUGUGUUGUAGAUCAAUCGCUCACGCAGUAGUCACCCUGGAUUUUAAUACGUUCCUAGAGAAAGCUAAGUUGAAAGAUGAUGGAAGCAACUUUGUAGACUGGGCUCGUAAUAUAAAGAUGCUCCUGCAAGCUGGGAAGAAGGAUUAUGUCCUUAAUGCUACGCUAGGAGAUGAACCACCCGCUACGUCUAGCCAAGAUGUUUUGAACGUCUGGUUAACACGUAAGGAGGACUACUCAAUAGUUCAAUGUGCAGUCUUGUAUGGCUUAGAGCCGGGACUUCAACGUCGCUUUGAGCGUCAUGGAGCAUAUGAGUUGUUCCAGGAGUUGAAGUUUAUCUUUCAGAAGAACGCUCAGAUCGAGAGGUAUGAGACCUCCGAUAAAUUCUAUGCGUGCAAGAUGGAGGAGAAUUCGUCUGUCAGUGAACAUGUCCUCAAAAUGUCUGGGUACUCAAACCGUCUAGGUGAGCUGGGGAUUGAACUCCCGCAAGAGGCUAUCACUGACAGAAUUCUCCAAUCACUACCACCUAGCUAUAAGAGCUUUGUGUUGAACUAUAACAUGCAAGGGAUGAACAAGUCACCCGGCAAGUUAUUCGCGAUGCUGAAAGUCGCAGAGUCAGAACUCCGAAAAGAGCAUCAAGUGUUGAUGGUCAAUAAAACCAAUGGUUUCAAGAGAAACGGCAAAGGAAAGAAGGGUAACUCCAAGAAGAGCGGCAAGCCUGUUGCCAAUCCGACGAAAAAACCCAAGGCUGGACCUAAGCCUGAAACAAAGUGUUAUUAUUGCAAGGGACUGGGUCACUGGAAGUGCAAUUGCCCCAAGUAUUUGGCUGAUAAGAAGGCGGCCAAGGAAAAUCAGGUAUAUUUGAUAUACAUGUUAUUGAUGUGCACUUAACCAACUCUCGUAGCAGUGCCUGUGUAUUCGAUACCAGUUCUGUUGCUCAUAUUUGCAACUCGAAGCAGGAACUGCGGAAUAAACGAAGGCUGGUGAAGGAUGAAGUGACGAUGUGCAUUGGAAAUGGUUCCAAGGUUGAUGCAAUUGCCAUCGGCACAGUCUCACUUCAGUUACUAUCAGGAUUAGUUAUGAACUUAAAUAAUUGUUAUUUAGUGCCUGCGUUAAGCAUGAACAUUAUACCUGGAUCUUGUUUAUUGCGAGACGGUUACUCGUUUAAGUCAGAGAAUAAUGGUUGUUCUAUUUCUACGAGUAAUAUAUUUUACGGUCAUGCACCCAAUGUGAGAGGAUUGUUCAUAUUGAAUCUUGAUAGCAAUGAUACACAUAUACAUAACAUUGAGACCAAAAGAUGUAGAGUUAACAAUGAUAGCGCCAUGUUUUUGUGGCACUGCGGCUUAGGUCAUAUUGAUGUAAAGCGCAUGAGGAAACUCCAUUCCGUUGGGCUUUUGGAGUCACUUGAUUUUGAAUCACUUGACACGUGCGAACCAUGCCUCAUGGGAAAGAUGACUAAGACUACGUUCUCCGAAACAAUGGAGCGUGCAAGUGACUUGUUGGAAAUCAUACAUACCGAUGUGUGCGGUCCAAUGAGUGUGGAGGCGUGCGGCGGAUAUAGUUAUUUUCUCACCUUCACUAACGAUUUGAGUAGGUAUGGAUAUAUCUACUUGAUGAAGCACAAGUCUUAAACGUUUCAGAAGUUCAAGCAAUUUCAGAGUCAAGUUGAAAAUCAUCGUAACAAGAAGAUCAAGUUCCUACGUUUUGAUCGUGGGGGUGAAUAUCUGAGUUUCGAGUUUUGUGAUCACUUAAGACAAUGUGGAAUUGUUUCACACUUGACACCGCCUAGAACACCACGGCGUAAUGGUGUGUCCGAACGUCGUAAUCGUACUUUGUUAGAAAUGGUGUGAUCUAUGAUGUCUCUUACCAAUUUGUCGUUAUCAUUUUGUGGUUAUGCAUUAGAGACAGCUGCAUUCACUUUAAAUAUGGCACCAUCAAAAUCCGUUGAGACGACACCAUAUGAACUGUGGUAUGGCAAAAGACCAAAAUUGUCGUUUCUUAAAGUUUGGGGAUGUGAUGCUUAUGUCAAAAAGCUUGAGCCUGAAAAGCUGGAACCCAAAGCGGAAAAGUGUGUCUUCAUAGGUUACCCAAAGGAGACAGUUGGGUACACCUUCUAUCUCAAAUCCGAGGGCAAAGUAUUUGUUGCUCAGAACAUAGCUUUUCUUGAGAAGGAGUUUCUCUCGAAAGAAUUGAGUGGGAGGAAGAUAGAACUUGAUGAGGUUGUCGAACCUCUAAUCCCUCUAGAUGGUGGCGCAGGCCAAGGGGAAACCCCUGUCGAAGCGGCGCCGGUUGAGGAGGAAGUUAAUGAUGAUCAUCGUGAAACUUCGGAUCUAGUUCCUAUCGGCCCUCGCAGGUCGACAAGAUCACGUACUACUCCUAAGUGCUACGGUAAUCCUGUCUUAUCAAUCAUGUUGUUAGACAACAAUGAACCUGCAAAUUAUGAAGAAGCAAUGGUGGGCCUGGAUUCCAACAAAUGGCUGGAGGCCAUGAAGUCCGAGAUAGGAUCUAUGUAUGAAAACAAAGUGUGGACUUUGGAAGUAUUACCUGAAGGCCACAAGGCUAUUCAGAACAAAUGGAUCUUUAAGAAGAAGACGGACGCAGACGGUAAUGUGACCGUUUAAAGUUCGACUUGUGGCAAAGCGUUUUUCACAAGUUCAAGGAGUUGACUACAAUGAGCCCCCGUUCUCACCAGUAGCGAUGCUUAAGUCCGUCCGAAUCAUGUUAGCAAUAGCUGCAUUUUUCGAUUAUAAAAUCUGGCAGAUGGAUGUCAAAACGGCAUUCCUUAACGAUUUUCUUAAGCAAGAGUUGUAUAUGAUGCAACCCGAAAGGUUUUGUCGAUCCAAAGAAUGCUAACAAAGUAUGGAAGCUCUAGCGAUCCAUUUAUGGAUUGGUGCAAGCAUCUCGGAGUUGGAAUAAGCACUUUGAUGAGGUGAUUAAAGCAUUUGGAUUUAUACAAGUGGUUGGAGAAUCUUGUAUUUACAAGAAAGUGAGUGGGAGCUCUGUGGCAUUUCUAAUAUUAUAUGUGGAUGACAUAUUGCUGGUUGGAAACAACGUGGAGUUUUUGGAGAGCGUAAAGGAUUACUUGAAUAAAAGUUUCUCUAUGAAGGACCUAGGAGAAGCUACUUACAUUCUGGGCAUUAAGAUCUAUAGGGAUAGAUCAAGACGCCUGAUAUGACUUUCACAAAGCACAUACCUUGAUAACUUCUGAAGAAGUUCAAAAUGGAACAGUCCAAUAAGGGGUUCUUGCCAGUGUUACAAGGUAUAAAAUUGAGUAAGACUUAGUGCCCAGCAACUGCGGAAGAUAGAGAACAGAUGAGUUCCGUCCCCUAUGCUUCAACCAUAGGUUCUAUCAUGUAUGCAAUGCUGUGCACUAGACCGGACGUCAGCUUGGCCAUAAUUAUGCCAGGCAGGUUUCAAAGUAAUCCAGGAGUGGAUCAUGGGACGGCAUUCAAGAAUAUUAUGAAGUACCUGAAUAGGACUAAGGAAAUGUUUCUCGUUUAUGGAGGUGACGAAGACCUCAUCGUAAAGGGUUACGUCGAUGCAAGAUUUGACACUGAUCUUGAUGACUCUAAGUCUCAAACUGGAUAUGUAUUUAUUCUUAAUGGGGGUGCGGUAAGCUGGUGCAGUUCCAAGCAAAGCGUCGUAGCAGAUUCUACAUGUGAAGCGGAGUACAUGGCUGCCCCGGAGGUAGCUAAGGAGGGUGUCUGGAUGAAUCAAUUUAUGAUGGAUCUUGGAGUUGUGCCGAGCGCACUAAAUCCAAUAACUUUGUUUUGUGACAACACUGGUGCCAUUGCUUUAGCAAAGGAACCAAGGUUUCUCAAGAAAAUCAGGCACAUCAAACGACGCUUCAACCUCAUCCGCGACUACGUCGAAGGAGAGGACGUAAAUAUUUGCAAAGUGCACAUGGAUGUGAAUGUAGCAUAUCCGCUGACUAAACCUCUUCCACGGGCAAAACAAGAUCAACACCAGAACUGUAUGGGUGUUAGAUUUAUUAAAAUGUAAACCACAUGGCGAUGUGAGGACUAGAUAAUUGACUCUAGUACAAGUGGGAGACUGUUGGAAAUAUGCCCUAGAGGCAAUGAUAAAAUAGUUAUUAUUAUAUUUCUUGUUUCAAGAUAAUCAUUUAUUAUCCAUGCUAUAAUUGUAUUGAAAGAAAACAUAGAUACAUGUGUGGUUACAUAGACAAAACAUUGUCCCUAGCAAGCCUCUAGUUGGCUAGCCAGUUGAUCAAGGAUAGUCAAGGUUUUCCGACUAUAUGCAAGUGUUGUCACUUGAUAACUGGAUCACAUCAUUAGGAGAAUCAUGUGAUGGACUAGACCCAAACUAUGAAUGUAGCAUGUGAUCGUGUCAUUUUGUUGUUAUUGUUUUCUGCAUGUCAAGUAUUUAUUCCUAUGACCAUGAGAUCAUAUAACUCACUGGCACCGGAGGAAUACCUUGUGUGCAUCAAACAUCACAACGUAACUGGGUGACUAUAAAGGUGCUAUGCAGGUAUCUCCGAAGGUGUCCGUUGAGUUAGUAUGGAUCAAGACUGGGAUUUGUCACUCCGUGUGACGGAGAAGUAUCUCGGGCCCACUCUGUAAUACAACAUCAGACACAAGCCUUGCAAGCAAUGUGACUAAGUUUAAGUCACGAGAUCUAGUAUUACGGAACGAGUAAAGAGACUUGCCGGUAACGAGAAUGAAAUAGGUAUGCGGAUACCGACGAUCGAAUCUCGGGCAAGUAACAUACCGAAGGACAAAGGGAAUGACAUACGGGAUUAUAUGAAUCCUUGGCACUGAGGUUCAACCGAUAAGAUCUUCGGAUAAUAUGUAGGAUCCAAUAUGGGCAUCCAGGUCCCUCUAUUGGAUAUUGACCGAGGAGUGUCUCAGGUCAUGUCUACAUAGUUCUCGAACCCCCAGGGUCUGCACACUUAUGGUUCGAUGAUGUUUUAGUAUAGUUGAGUUAUAUGUGUGGUUAACGAAUGUUGUUUGGAGUCUUGAAUGAGAUCACGGUCAUCACGAGGGUUUCCGGAAUGGUCCGGAAACUAAGAUUGAUAUAUAGGAUGGUUUCAUUUGGUCCAUCUGAAAGUUUCGGGCAUUUCCGGCAGUGUACGGGGAGUGACGAAUGGGUUUCGGGUGUUCACCGGAAGGGGCCCACCCACCCAGGAGUGAGCCCAGUAGCCUUAGGGUAGCGCACUAGCCCUUAGUGGGCUGAUGGAGCCAGACCAAGAAGGCUAUGGCGCCACAAGUGAAAAAACCANCGCCACAAGUGAAAAAACCAAAGAAAAAAAAGGAAAGAGGGAGGUGGGAAGGAAGAGGAGGACUCCUCCUUCCCAAACCGAAUUGGAGAAGGAGUACUCCUCUCCAUUUUGGCCGGCGCACCCUUGAGGCUCUUGUGCCCCAAGGCUAGCCCCUCCCCUCCUCCUAUAUAUACUGGUGGUUUUAUGGUUUUUGACACACAAAUUUGCCACGUGCAACUCAAACCUAUACCACAUAGUUUUGCCUCUAGAUCGGAUUUCUGCGGAGCACGGGAGGAGCCCUGUAGGAGUAGAUCGUCACCACCACCGGAGCGUCGUCACGCUAUCGGAGAACUUAUCUACUUCUGUGUCUCUCUUGCUGGAUCAAGAAGGCCGAGAUCGUCAUUGAGCUGUACGUGUGCUAAAUGCGGAGGUGUCGUCCGUUCGGCGCUAGAUCGGAACGGAUCGUGGGACGGAUCAUGGGACGACGGUGAUUUGAAUCAUGAACCUGUACCACUACAUCAAACACGUUUCUUAAUGCUUCACGCUUAGCGAUCUACAAGUUUACGUAGAUCUAAUCUCCUCUUGUAGAUGGCCAUCACCAUGAUAGGUCUUCGUGUGCGUAGGAAAUUUUGUGUUUCCCAUGCAACGUUCCCCAACACACACAAGGUAUUACAGUCUAGAUUUUAUUGGCCAACUCUUUUCAAAGAUGCUCGUAAGUUUGUCCUCUCUUGUGAUGAAUGUAAAAGAAUUCGUAAUAUUAGUAGACGUCAGGAAAUGCCUAUGAAUUAUUCACUUGUUAUUGAACCAUUUGAUGUUUGGGGAUUUGGUUAUAUGGGACCUUUUCCUUCCUCUAAUGGGUAUACACAUAUUUUGGUUGCUUUUGAUUAUGUCACUAAAUGGGUAUAAGCUAUUCGUGUUGGGUUCUACCAUAGGUGCAUCGCAUGCGAAUUAAAUUUUUCCUACGCACAGAACAUCCAAGAACAUGCUAUGGAGAUGGAUCAUAGAACGCUACCACUAGACGCGCAGUGUCGUGCAGCAGAAGUAGAGUUGGGGCAGCACGUCUGCAUGGUCCAUCUCCUCCUCGUCCGAUCUCCCUCGAACAGUCGGUCGCCGGAUCGUCUCCCUCGAAUAGCCGGUAACCAGAUCCCACGCACAGGUUCAUCAAAGCGGCGCUGGUGCACCGCCUCUAACAGUAUUUGCGCGUGAGGAGGAACACUGUGCGGCGGACUGCUAGGUCCAGAUCACACGGUCGGCAGCAGCGAGUGGAGGUGGCUAGUUGCAACACAUGCAAAGCCCUAAUGACGACGCCGAAGCGAUCAAUCAGAUAAGUGUGCUGCACCUCCACUAUAUAUAGGUGUCCAGCGCAGUCUCAACUCUUGGGCCUCGCACGGACCCUAAAGGCCAUGUAUUCCUUCCCUUAAGCAUGCGUACUUUUAGGUUCUUGUUCACUUGGCCACGAGUGAGACCAUGUUCGACUCAACUAGUCGGUUGUGGCCUCUAGCAAGGCAUGACGACUCCUAGUGUACGAUGAAGCUGGUUAGGCGAACAUGUACUUCAUACUCAUGUUCCCUUUGCCACACGAUAUACGUUGUCGUGCUCAAGGCGACAUGGUCACCCUUGUUGCCGCACGACCUAUUUCUCGUUCCGGUGAAUUUGACCAACAUUCGGAUUAUCUCCCCAUCCUCAUCGCAUCGCUAUGCUUAUCCAGAUCAGAUCACCCGAGGGGCCCAGAGUAUAUCUCUCCUAGUCAGAGGGGCAAAUCCCAUCUUGCUCGAGCACGUCUCGCAACAUGGGUCUAGACAAGCCCGAAACCUACCUUUAUAAGUACCCAGUCACGGAGUCGCAUUUGGUCGGCCCAAAGCAUGUUUGUCACCAUCCCAAGUACAUGCGCCAGCUCAGGUCCUAGGACAUAAAACGUAUGUUGUGCUAGAGACUCACAGAUGACCUAUCGCUGCGUCUCAUAGUUGCGUCUGUCCAACUCACACCUUAUCUCAACUCGGAUCCGACUAAGUCGAAUACGACCAGAUCUUUCCGAGUCCAUAUUAUCCGGCUAGCAUCCAAUGCUACAUGGUCAGUGAGACCGAACUGUCCACCGUAUCAUAUGCUAGUCUAGUUAGUUGAGCGUGCACACAACUCUUUCGACUAGGGACAAUUUAGGACAGUCAUCAUACAAUGUAUAGUCUCACAAACAAGUCAUGCACUUGUUAAUACACAUCCUUGAUAAUGUCCAAGGACUAUAUUUAUUCAUAAACACAUAGGAAAUAUCAUCAUACAUGAUUGCCUCUAGGGAAUAUCUCCAACAAUUCCAACCAAUAGUGUUGAUCAUAACACUUCUAUUAAAAUCCUUCAAGAAGUUAUUUUCCAAUAUUUUGGAGUCCCUAGAUACUUAAUGACUCAUGGUGGUUCACAUUUUAUUCAUGGUGCUUUCGUAAGCUGCUUGCAAGAUAUGAUGUUAACCAUAGAAUUGCAUCCCCGUGUCAUCCUCAAUGUAGUGGUCAAGUAGAAUUUACCAAUAGAGAAAUAAAAUUAAUAUUGCAAAAGACUGUUAGUAGGUCCCGAAACAAUUGGUCUAAGAAAUUAGAUGAUGCACUGUGGGCCUACAGAACAGCUUAUAAAAAUCCUAUGGGUAUGUCUCCUUAUAAAAUGGUUCAUGGGAAAGAGUUAGAACAUAAAGCUUAUUGGGCAAUUAAAGAACUCAACUGUGAUUUCAAACUUGUUGGUGAAAAGAGGUUAUUUGAUAUUAGCUCAUUAGAUGAAUGGAGAACCCUAUCUUAUGAAAAUGCCAAACUAUUCAAAGAAAAAGUUAAAAUAUGGCAUGAAAAAUGAAUCCAAAAGCGAGAUUUCGAAGUUGGUGAUUAUGAUAAAUUUGUUCAAUUCUCGUCUUAGAUAUUUUGCAGGAAAACUUCUCUCCAAAUGGGAAGGACCAUAUAUCAUCGAAGAAGUUUAUCGGUGUGGAGAUAUUAACAUGAAUAAUCCCGAAGGCACUAACCCGAAAGUUGUCAAUGGGUAAAUAAUAAAACACUAUAUUUCAGGUACACCAAUUAAUGUUGAAACAAAUAUUAUCCAAACCAUGACACCAGAGGAACACAUAAAGGAGACGUUCUAGAACACUCCAGAACCCUUAGAAGGAAGAGGUAUGUGAUAUGGUAAGUAAAUGGACUGCGAAAAAUCUGCAAAAAUAUUUUAUGUUAGUUUUGGUAUAUUCUAAAAAUUAGGAAAUUGAUAAACAGACGAGAAGGCAACCUAGGUGCCCACUAGGCACCAGGGCGCGCCAGCCCCCCUGGCACGGCAUGGUGGCUAGUGGGCCCCUCACGCACCUUCCUCACUCCGUUUUCUUGUGGGACACGUAUUUCCUUGUAUAAAAAUUCUCUAUAUAUAUCUCCCGAUGAUUUGACCCCAGUACCAUGGAGAAAUCAUGUGUUCUUGUUUCGCGCUAUUUUUCUGACAGAUCUAGGUCGCCAUGGCUUCGUCAAGCCCCUCCAAAGACAAGUUCUUCGAGAGGGUCAUCAACCCCUACUUGCCGGAGGUGAUGAAGCACCUGCAAACCAUUGAGAUGCGUGAGGGGGUGCUUCACAUCCGGGAUGUUCAAGGGCCCAAGAAGACGGGAAGCAUGUAGGCUAGGCUCGAGGCGGUGGAGCAUGAGAUGUUCACGUGACAAGGCAUGGUGGAGUGUGGACUCAGUGCCGACCACUCCAUGAUCAUGGAAUUCACCCUUGAUCAGAAGGUGGAUGGCAGGUCCUUGAAGGAUAUUCUCUUCACCCUCAAUGAGAAAAUCAAUUUUCUGCAAGGCCAAAUCUUUGAUCUUCAAAACCAAAUCUUUGAGUAUGAAGCAAGGUUUAAAGGUAUGAGUUUAGCUGCUAGUUGCAGGACUCUGGAGACUCGUGCCAGCUCUUAUAAUGGUAACCCACUAUCAUGGAAGUCAGGGGACAAGUUUUCUUCUGCCUCAUCAUCUACAUCACCAUCACCUCCAUCUCCACCACUAAAGCAGGAGACUUGAGUACACGGGUAUGGGCACUCCUCUUGGCUUUUGCCAAGCUUGGGGGAGGUGCCCUGGUAUCGUAUCACCAUCACUCUUAUUAUCUUUAUCCAUCUUAGUUUGAUCUUUAGCUAUUUCAUGACUUAGUCAAAUAAAAGAUUAGUUUGAUCCAUCUUUUCGAGUGNAGUUUGAAUUUCACUUCUUUACUUUCUUGCUGCAAUCGAAAUUAAGGAAAAUAAUUAAAAAAAUCAUAUGCUAAUCUUAUAGUAAGUACUGACACCACGUAAGGAAAAGUAUAAGUGGUAAAAUUUGUUGAAUAUUGACAAACAUAGCAUUGGUCGGUAAUGCAACACAUGAAAGAAUUAAUUAGGGCAGAGAAGAUUUACAUGCAAAUACACUAUCCUUCACAUCUUUUAUGAUUGUGAGCCCCCAUUAAUUAUUGUAUGCCAAAACUGUUGACAUUGGACAAGGAAGACAACGUAAUUAUUUAUGUUUGCUUACAUUCACAUAGAAGUUAUAUUGUUGUAGAUCCUCUAACAUGUGGUGCUUGCCAAUAUCUUUGCUAGCCAAACUUCCGCACUAAGUAGAGAUACUACUUGUGCAUUCAAAACCUUAAACCCAAAUCCAUGUUUAAAGAGUCCACCAUACCUACCUACGGAUUGAGUAAGAUCCUUCAAGUAAGUUGUCAUUGGUGCACAAGGCAAUAAAAAUUGCUUGUAAACAUGUUUGAUCAUUUAGUGUGAGGGAAAUUAACCAUUGUACAAACUUGUGAUGACAAUAAUAAAAGCGACGAACUGCAUAAUAAAGGUUGCCAUUACAAGGGGCAAUAUAACAUAACAUUCCUUUGCACUAAGAGAUUUGACAUACAACCAAAAAGCGCAUGACAACCUCCCGCGAAGGACCUAUCUUUUACUUUGAUGCAAGAGUAAAAGUUUUCUUCUCUACUUCUUUUUAUUUUCUCCUUCACAAGCGUCAUGUGGUGGGGAAAGAUCUAAGCAUAUAUAUCCAGUUGAAUGUGAAUGCUCAUAACUUAUUAUUGUUGACAUCACCCUUGAGGUGAAUACAUUAGGAGGCAACACUUUAAGCCCCUAUCUUUCUAUGUGUCCAGUUGAAACCUUUUCAUCAUAUGUAUGCAAUGAGUGUUGGCAAUCAUAGAAGACUAAAGAUGGUUGAGUAUGCACACUUUAUUAAAAGCUCUGAUAUGUGACCCUUCCUGAAAAUGUGAUGAAUUGUGUUGCAUGGUCGAUUGAAAACAUAGUUUGUUAGUUUUCAAUAGAGUUUAUGCUUCGUACUUGGACGAUGUGAUGAAUUGAUAAUUGUUUAUAAUAAGCCUUUAUGAUGAAAUUUAUAUGAUGAAAAUGUUGUAAUGAAGUAUCUUACAAAGUUUUAUUUGUUGUUAUAAUAAUGAGCAUGAUGCUAGUAUGUCCAUAUUUUGUUAUUGUCACGUCUCUCUCGCAUGUGAUCGUGAUUUUUGUUAUCGGCUUUUGCUUGAGGACAAGCAAGGUCUAAUCUUGGGGAAGUUGAUACGUCUGAUACAUCUCCGUCGUAUCUACUUUUCCGAACUCUUUUGCCCUUGUUUUGGACUUUAAUUUGCAUGAUUUGAAUGGAACUAACCCGGACUCACGCUGUUUUCAGCAGAAUUGCCAUGGUGUUGUUUUUGUGCAGAAAUAAAAGUUCUCGGAAUGUCCUGAAAUUUACGUUCAAUGAUUAUGUUAGCAAACAAUUGGAACAGAAUGCUCAUAUCCUUAGUCAUUUAAGUGCUUGUGUGGACAGAAAUGUCGAUGAUCUUAAGCUUGUGAGUAAACAUGCCUCUAUGUUUUAGAUUGAUGUUGCUACUACUUGGCUAUGCUUAAUGUUUGUCACUAGGGCCCGAGUACCAUGAUUUCAGAUCUGAACCUAUUAUGUUGUCGCCAAUAUAUGUGUGUUUUAGAUCCUAUCUUGCAAGUUGUAGUCACCUACUAUGUGUUAUGACCCGGCAACCCCGGAGUGACAAUAGCCGGAAUCACUCCCGGAGAUGACCAUAGUAUGAGGAGUUCAUGUAUUCACCGCGUGUUAAUGCGUUGGUCCGGUUCUUUAUUAAAAGGAGAACCUUAAUAUCCCGUAGUUUCCAUUAGGACCCCGCUGCCACGGGAGGGAUGGACAAUAGAUGUCAUGCAAGUUCUUUUCCAUAAGCACGUAUGACUACAUACGGAAUACAUGCCUACAUUAGAUUGACGAACGAGAGCUAGUUACAUAUAUCUCCGUGUUAUAGCUGUUACAUGAUGAAUCACAUCCGUCAUACUCAUUCAUCACCGAUCCACUGCCUACGAGUCUUUUACUACUGGUCCUUGCUAUGUUACUUUGUCUAGGCUUGUCCCUUGCUACAAAAGGGAUUGGGCCACUUUGCUACUACGGUUGCUACUGUUGUUACUCUGCUGUUGCUACUGUUGUUCCUUGCUACUUCGCUGUUACUUGUUGCAAGAUCUUUUCCGACAGUGUUGUCGGGGAAGAAUAGUUACCCGCUCAGGGGGGGGGGGGGGGUGAUACAACAGUUAGGAAUAGUCUGCCGUCAAUAGAUCGUUUCUGACAUCGUUGCUAUCAUACUACUUUGCUACUGAUACUUUGCUUGAAGACACUAAUCUUUCAGGUGUGGUUGAAAUUGACAAACUCAGCUGCUAAUACUUGAAAUAUUCUUUCGCUUUCCCUUGUGCGAACCAACAAAUUUGGGUUGAAUACUCUACCCUCGAAAACUGUUGUGAUCCCCUAUACUUGUGGGUUAUCAACGCCCAUUUUGCAUCAUGUGUUGUUACUCUUAUUUUUAGUGUUUUUAUACAUUAUACCACUUUGUGGAGUAAUUCUAAUGCCUUUUCUCUCAUAAUAUGCAAGGUUUACAUCAAGAGGGAGAAUGCCAGCACAUGGAAGUCUGGACAUGAAAAAGCUACGUCCGAGAUACNGGAGAAUGCGAGCAGAUGGAAUUUUGCACAUGAAAAAGCUACAUCAUAGAUACCUAUUCUGCACAUCUCCAAAUGGGUUGAAACUUCAUGGAGAUUUAUUUUAGAAUAAAUAAAAAAUACUGGAGGAAAUAAGUACCAGAGUGGGCUACGAGGUGCCCAUUAGGAAAUAGGGUGCGCCAGCCCCCCUAGCGCGGCCUGGUGGGUACACUACAGGAAUCGAGCAUUUUGCCGUCACGACCCUACAGACGGCAAAAAAAUUGCCGUCAGCCCAUGAUGACAAAUAAUGCGGGCAUCCGCCAUGCCCGCAAAGGAUAGUAUUGUCGUCAACAUACAGGAGAGCACACGACAAAUCUUUUGCCAUUAGUGAAAUUAUUUUGCCGUCAACUGGUUUGCUAGACGGCAAAAAAAUAACAGAAGAGGAGCGGACUGACCGACGGACGACGUUAAUCAUUUUUGCCGUCAGCUUUAUGAUACCCCAGACGGCAAAACUACCAGUUGUUUGCCGUCUUCAAUAAAGUUCAAGACGGCAAACCACCUGGGAUCUUUGUCCUCUGUCAAUUCUGUACAAGACAACAAACCACAUCAUAUCUUUGUCGUGUGUUGAUGUUGUACAAGACGACAAAUUAAUAGGUGCGCCACAUGUUUUUUUGCUGUCAUAAACAUGACGACAAAGGGGUUGCUAAAUAGACAAUAUAACAGCAUAAAUAGACAAUAAAAACAGCAUAAAUAGACAAUAUAACAGCAGAAAUAGACAAUAUAACAAUAUAGUCCAUAACACAUCCAUACAUAUAUACAUAUAGCACACACCAUAACACAUCAAUAUAACAAGUGUAAAAAAUAAGAUCACAAAGGUUGGCAUCCACGUUACGCAAAACUCACAUGAGCCUAGCAACAAUACGACCUAACCUACUGCAUGGAUAUUGUAGUACAUACCCCAAAUCCACAAGCACCCUACAUAAUGAUUCGCGAUGUCGUCGGUGAUGCAACAACCACAACCAAAACAAAAAAGGCAAGGGAGGCUGGUGGUCCAGGUUGUUGUCUGCGCGCCGCCUCUGUUGGUCAUGCCGUAAGCAUCAUUACCAUUGCCUCCCGCACCCCGCCAUCAUCAGGCUUAUUUGUGGCUGUUGCUCGUCCUCCUACUCCAUGUCUCCAUCUACAUGGACAAGAGCAAGUUAGUUGAAUGUCAUGCACAUGAUAAAACUGCAAGGCAUAUAUAUUUAUGUACAUAAACUGCAUGGUCGAGUUUCAUUCAAAACAUAUGUGAUGAAUUGAUGACUGAAAUCUGUACUGUACCGAUAGGUGUUUAUGCACCAAUAUGUACAUGUAAACACUUCACGAGAUAUUUCCUUCCAAACAUUGUAAGGCAAAGAUAGAUAGUGGUACUACACAUAUUGAAGGUAAACUGUAUUGACUUGAAAGCAAUAAAUUGACUGUAUAUGUUUGCCAACAUAAAAUUCCACUCUCAACUUUUGACGCACAUUUACAUGUUCCGAGAUACCGAAUGCAACUAGUUUACAGAAGAGAUUAUUUCCUAUGAAAUGCACACCUUACAAUUAAAUAAAAUCAUUGUUGAGCAACAGUUAGACAUAGUAUCUCCUGAGUUNNNN
rnacentral:lncRNA from 1 species